AGGUGCGACCUCGUGUGUACCACGUGGGAGAUAUGGUAUUGAAAAGGAUCCUUCCUCCUCAGAACGAUCGUCGGGGCAAGUGGAGACCCAAUUAUGAAGGUCCAUUCGUGGUCAAGAAGGUUUUCUCUGGCGAAGCCUUGUUGUUGACGACCAUGGAUGGCGAGGAUUUUCCAUCCCCGGUGAAUGCGGACGCAGUUAAAAAAUACUUCGUAUAAGAGAACCGCUGGACGAAAAGAAUAAAAUAGUCCAGGAAAAAAUGGGCAUCCCGGCGAACCAAAAAAAAAUGAAAAGGUUCGGGCAAAAAUUAGGGAUAAAAAAGAAAAAAAACUGUACACCCGGCAAGUCGAAAACCCCACAGGGCGGCUUGGGCAAAAAAGGGUAUCCCGGUGGGCUGAAAACCCGAAAGGGCGGUCCAGGAAAAAGAGGGAUUGAAACGAACAACUGUGUCUAGCAUGAUCAUUUGUACUGUGGAUAUGACACAUGGAUAAUCCCCAGCAGGGAUCAGUCGGAAGCGUCUUGUUCAGAAGGCAGAAAGCACGGAGAGUCUUGAGGACAUAUGGGGUGUAACCGAGUUGGAACUCGAUGAGAUCACGGGUUCACAUUGCCAUUAGGAUAGAUUUUUCCUUUUUGUGCGCCAUUACCUCUUUUCAGGGAUUGCUUCCUGUGUAUUGCUCAGUUUUGAGCCACCUUUUUCAAUCAAUAAAAUGCAUAUUCAGUCAAAUAAUUUUGUUUUUGUUUUCAUUACCGCUUUGAUUGCAAAAACAUCCGGUUUAUUUUGAUAAAGAAUAUUUGCAUUUUAAAACAUACGGGUCCCUUCCAAUGCAUGUUUAUAAGAUUGAGAGCCUGAAAUCUUAUUCGGAAGGUUGAGUGACCCAGGUGUUGAAAUUUUGGCGCCUGGGGCACGUUUUAUCUAACGAUCUCUUUUGCAGGUGCUGUUAGAUAUUUUCACUCACUUGCAGGUUGUGAUGUGAAGCUUUUUGACAAAAGAUCCCCGUGGAGUCCAAUCAGGGACGAGGAAUGGAGGAACGGUGAGAAGACGACGGAAGAACGUGCGACGAUCCUGGAGGAUUAAUCCAGAAGACUCUUCAAAGUCUGAAGAAUUGGAAAGUUGAUACCAAUUUGAGGGGUUCAAUCUCCGUAGAGUACGGAGAAGUCAAGAAUACAAGGAGAUGAAUCAGAAAAGUCCAGACGAGUCUGGGAGCUCUCAAAAGUGGAAAGCUGGCACUAUGGUUGGAUGGUGAACACCAGUGUUUGACGAAUCGACGGGCGUUCCAUGUCAAAUAGGCCGUAUCUCCCUAGUGGGUUCGAGGUUGUUAUCUCCCCAGCGGAUUCGAGAUUGGUGUCUCCUCGGCAUCCAAGUCUGAAGUUUGUCUUAUCCCCAGCCAAGUCUGAAGUUUGUCUUAUCCCCAGCCAAGUCUAAAGUUUGUCUUAUCCCCAGCAAGUCUGAAGGUUGCUGUCCUCCCCAGCAAGUCUGAAGGUUGCUGUCCUCCCCAGCAGGGUUGAGAGUGUUAUUUCCCCAGUAAGUCUGAAGGUUGCUGUUUCCCCAGCGGAGGUGGGUGUGGUUUGUUUUCCCCAGCGAAGUCCCCGAGCGGAUCGAGUUCAGCGGAGGUCGUCCCCAGUGAAGAUUAUCCGUUCCCCAACAGCAGUGCUAUUCCCCAGCAGGGUGGAGACUGGAGUGAUAUUGAGUUCCUCAGCAGAGUUUCUCGAGCUCCCCAGUAGAGUCCCCGGAGGGGGAUAUAUUUUUUAUGCAUUCAUCAUUUAGAAAAGCAUAGCAUAUUGCAUCAUUAAUUGCGUAGCAUUUCCAUGGUUAUGGAGCAUUACGCUGAAAAAAAACUCAUGCAUAAGCAUUGCAAGCAUAAGCUAGUCUCAAGCCGUGGUUACCGUUUGAGAAUCAGUUUAUUUGGUUGGAAGAUCAGCCUCAGCAUUGCAAGCAUCAGCUAGCCUCAAGCCGUGGUUACCGUUUGAGAGUUGGUUUCACCGGAUGGUGAAGAUGUUACUCCGAGGAGUUUAGUAUCAUGACGUUGGAUAAGUUAGACUCAAGCCGUGGUUACUGUUUGAGAUUUGGUUUCGCCGGAGGAUGAAGAUGUUACUCCGAGGAGUUUAGCAUCGUGACGUUGGGUCAAUGGUAUUCCCCAGUAGUGCGAUAUUGGAGGAAGAAUUUCUGUCGUGCGAGAUGGAAGUGGGAAGGUGUUACUCUGAUGAGUUUAGCAUCGUGAUUUUGGAUCAACAACAUUCCCCAGUUAGUCCCCGGCAAGCGUCUGCCUUGUUUUGACAUAUGUAGAUGUCAUCCCUGCGAUACCGGUAAGUGUCGUGUCGAUCCCCGUAAUGUCUGUUUUCUUUGGUGUCAGUAAACAUCAUUGUUCGAUGUCAAUAAACGUCGAGCUCCUUCCCAGUCAUUGGUAAAUGUCUGGUCGAGUAUCCUUUCUUUGGUGUCGGUAAACAUCAUUGUUCGAUGUCAGUAAACGUCGAGUUCCUUCCCAGUCAUUGGUAAAUGUCUGGUCGAAUAUCCUCUAAUAUGUCGCCAUCAGAGUGGUGGUUGGUGUUAUUUCCGGCCUUGCCAACGGAAUUAACAUGGGAAAAUGAAGAACGAGGUUCAUUGUUUGGCAGCAAGAUUGACAUGAAGUUAUCGGGGUCCAAAUGCGGCGAUCAGGGAUCAUCCGCGCGAAAAAAAAUAAAUCAGAAAAUUUUGGGGUUCAAGAAAAGCAAAAAUGAUAAUAAUCCCCAGCGGAGCGCAAAUUGUUCGUCUGUUCUUGGUAUUCAACCACUCUUCACCCUGAUCAUCUGAAAGCCGAGGCUGUUCAUAUCUCAGGUUCACAGUGGAUUGAAUAGGGGCAGCUGUAACACCUCAAAAUUUGCCCUCCUCUUCUUUGGACUAGCUUAGCAUAUUGCAUUUCAUGUUUUAGGACAUUAGGCAUUUGCAUAUUGCAUAUCAUAUGGAAAUCAGAAGUCAUCCUCCAUUGUCUUUUUCAAAAGAGGGAGGUGGUAUAUGGUUCAAGCCUGAGGGUUUCUAUGGACUGAUGAUCAACCAUCUGAGGGUAUGGGCUUCAGUUAGGGUUUUCUGAUCCUUCAAAGGCCUUGAGUAGUGUCUUGGUUGCAAGGAUAUAUUACCAUCAUCAUAGUUUUAUCUUCAUCCAGGGUUUCAUUGUUCACUCUCAGGUUCUUCUGGAUUAGGGUUUUGACCUCUGGUCAACCCUAAUCACUUCCUUCCUUCCAGCCAAGGUUUCUUAAGGAAAUGAGGUAUUUGUUGAUGAUGAAAAUCACAUGGUUAUGUGGAGAAGCUUAUGUGAGCUAGGGUUUCAUUUCUGAGCCAAUUCCUCAAGUGGUUGAGGCUCAAGCUGAUCAGAGCAUGUCAAGGUCAUCUAAGGACCUAUACAAUUAACUGUGUAAGAGCUGAGGGCUAGGAGGGGGAGAAAUGGUUUGAGACACUUCAUUCAUGUCCCAAAGAGGUUCAUUUGUCCUUAUAAACAUCUAUAUUGAAGGUUUUGAAGCCAGAUCAAAAGUUUCCCAAAAUGGAAAGUGACCUGUAAUUGAAAGUUUCCAAAAAUGGAAAGUUUUCAGUCCACCUUCAACUUGACUUUCCAACAUCAAAGAAGAUUCAAAUGAAAUUUUGUCCAACAUGAAAGUUGAAUAUCUUUCUCUCCCAUUUCAAAAAAGUCCAAGAUCAUGAGCAUCUGAUGAAUGGUUGAAGAAUUAUGAUCAAAUGAUUGCCAAGGGUGCAUAGAAGUUCAACAUGCCAUAACUUUUGAUCCAAAACUCCAAAAUGAGUCACUCUUUUUGCAUAAUGCUUCUCAUGACCUAUAAUUUCCAAAUCCAUCAUUACAUUGCAUGAAAUUAUCUCAUAUAAUCAUUUGCCCAUGCAUGUUUGUGAAAGAAUUCUUUAACUUGAAUUAACUUUUAAUGAUAGCAAAUUGUGUGAACAUCAUCCAAAUUGGUUGUGCAUUGCAUUACAUGAUAUAUUUGUGUUUUUACUUUGUGAUUCAUCCCAUUCUAUUGUUGCAUAACCCCACAUAUAACUGUACAUUGAAAAAUUCCUUAAAAUAACUAUUAAAAUGCAUUUUGUAACAGUAUGUAUCAAUACAUGAAUCUGUGCAUCGAUACAUGUAGCUUUGAUUAAUCACAAAACAACUUCUGUUCAGUAUGCAUCGAUGCACACGAGCCAUGCAUCAAUACAUGAAAGGGCAAAAACUCUGUGCAUCGAUACACACGACUUCUGCAUCGAUACAUGACCACUUGAGACAGCCUGUGCAUCAAUACAUGAGCAUUAAGCAUCGAUACAGAUUAGUGUAAAAAUCACAUGCAUCGAUACACACGACUCCUGCAUCGAUACAUGAUUAAUUAAUUUGACCAAAUAUUCAUACAACUUACAGUAUGCAUCGAUGCACACUCCUGUGUAUCAAUACAUAAGGUUGUUUUAAGUCAUAACAGUAACUGUUUUUGCAGCACAUAUAUACAGGUUUCAACAGCAGAUGAAAACACGAAUUCAUUGAGCAAAAAGACAAUUGAACACAAGAUCAAAGUAGUGUUGGAGCAAUUGUCAGUGAGCACAUAGAAACCUGAAAGAGACUUCAUCUUCUUCAUCUUCUCAAUCACUCUUCUUUCAAGAACAUUUACACAUAACAAUUCUUGUUCGUUGGAUCAAAGAAGCAUUGAGAUAACGUUCAGUGGUGUGAUCAAGGAUCUAGCUGUGGGUUGCAGUGGAACGAUCGAGGAUCUAGCUGAGUCGAAGAUUGAAGGGGGUUUCUAGGAAAAACCUACUGGUUUGUCCUUCAAGAACUGGUGUGUUCUUGAGGGUUUGGGAGUCACAUUUGCAGAACAGAUUCAGCCGCAGCGUUGCGUUUGGAGAUCGGGGGAUUUCGCAAGCAGGUCGUGGAACCGGUGAAUUGUUUGCAACUUUGUGCAGGAAAAUCUUGAUCAAGCUCAGAUCAAGUGAAGGUUUAUACAAGAAGAGGUUCUUGGAGUUUAGAAAUUCUGUCUUUGUAUCAAAACCUUGUAUCAACGGAUUCGGCAAUAAUUGAUAAUCAAAGUUCUCAAUUUCAUUUGAAAUUGAGAGGGAGACGUACCCACACGCGAGGACGACGUGGGGAACUUCCUUAACAAAUCUCUGCGUAUCUUACUCUUACCUUAAUCUUCUUUACGUUUCAAAACUGUUUUGCAAUUUCUGUUAGUGUGUGGUGAUUGAUCAUAUUUCUGGACAGCAGUGAUAAUAAAACCUUUAGUCAUACACCAUUGCUGUUUAUCAUCAAACACUCACACACCAACUGUUUGACAAAACGGUUAACUUGAUUGUGUUCAUUGGAAAUAGUAUUUGAGGAUAAGCGCAUUCAAUCUGUUAAAAUUCUGUGUGUAUUAUUUCUGUCAUUCUCAUUAAAAUCCAGCAACUGCACUUGCGUGUCCGGCUUUCUAGUAGCGGUUCAGAAUAGACGGAAGUCGAUUCGGGACUGCUUUUUCCGCUGUUUUUUGAAAACUCUGAUUAAACGUUAAAUCCGUUAAAUUUUAAAGAGGUGAUCUAUUCACCCCCCCUCUCGAUCACUAGCCACACCGUCUAACAAGUGGUAUCAGAGCGCCGGUUCGCUGGUGCUCUGUGGCUGCCUGUAACAGUAUGGAUUCUGAACCAAAGGGGGCGUAUAAUAGAGCGCCUAUUUUCAACGGUGAAAAUUACGGCUACUGGAAAGACUGCAUGCGAGUUCAUAUAAAUUCUGUGGAUAGGUUAGUAUGGGCUGCCAUUGAAAAUGGUCCGUUUCAAAUUACUAUGACAAAUGCGGCUGGCGCCAUAGUACCUAAACCAGAAGAUGAUUGGAAUGAGAAAGAUGAGAAAAAGUGGUCGUGUGAUUGGAGAGCUCGAAACAUGUUAAUUUCAGCACUUGGUGUUGAUGAGUAUUAUCGAGUAUCCCAUUGCACGACAGCUAAAGAAAUGUGGGACGCUUUAGAAGUUGCCCAUGAGGGUACUACUGAAGUAAAACAGUCCCGCAUUAACACACUCAAUCAAGAGUUUGAGCUCUUUCGCAUGAAACAAGGAGAAUCCAUCUCCGACAUGCAAAAGAGAUUCACUCAUCUAACUAACCGAUUGAAUGCUCUUGGAAAACCUAUUUCCAAUGAAAUUGCUACUAAUAAAAUUCUCAGGUGUCUUAGCAGGGAGUGGCAACCUAAAGUUACAGCAAUCAAGGAAGCCAACGAUCUUACAAGACUUACGAUUACAACUCUGUUUGGAAAGCUGGAAGAACAUCAGCAAGCUUUGGAAAGUCUUGAAAAAUAUGAGAAUAAAAGUAAGAAGGAAAAGGAGAAGAAAAGAGACAAAGAGGGAGAGAAGAAGCCAAUAGCUCUUGUGGCUUCUAGCUCUAAGUCCUCACGAAAAGAGCAAAGCGACAAUGAUUCAAGUAGUGACAAAGACUCGGAUGAUGAGGAAAUGGGACUGUUUGUAAGGAGAUACAAUAGAUUCAUUCGAAAGAAUGGAGUCAAGCAUUCCGACAAAAAUCUCAUGAAGUUUCGAAAACAAUCUACAAAUUCGAAACAAGAAGAGAACAAGAAGAGUAGAGGAAGAGGAUCCUGUUUUAAUUGUGGUAAAUCUGGACAUUAUAAAACGGAUUGCCCUAUAAAGUAUAAGGAUCAAAGAAAGGAUUCACCAAAAGGGUACAGCAAACAAAGAAGAGCGUACAUUGCAUGGGAAAGUGAUAGCGAUUCAUCAAGCACACAAAGCUCAAGUGAUGAUGAUGAAGCAGCAAAUCUGUGCCUUAUGGCUCACACAAAAAAUCUGUCCUACCACAAGAAGAAAAACAAUGACAAAAAGGUAAAACAAGCCUAUUACAAUAAUUUCUCCUCUAUGUCUUUUUCGGAACUAAAAAUAGCUUUUGAAAAACUGCAUAACGAAGCUGUAGAUGCUUUUAAAAGACUAGCUUCCGACAAACAUAUCUUCUCUUUUUUGGAAGGUAAAGUAAACAAAGCUGAAAUUGAUUUAGAAGCAUUGAAAACUAGUAUUGCAGAAAAUUCAAAAACUAUUGACAUUGACGGAUGUAGUAGAGUUAGGUAUUGUGACGCUUGUUAUAUUUGGCAAAAAGAGGUAAACACUCUUAAGGUCAAAUUAGAGAAAGCGCUACAACCUAAAGUUACUUAUGCCGUUGACCCCAAGUUGUUUAAGAAGUCAUUGAAUCCUCCAUAUGCAAAAUACUCUUUUAUUCUAAAGGAUUCAAUGAACAAGAAACAACAAACACAUCAUCAUGGUUUAUGUCAUUAUUGUUGCCAUGCUGGCCAUACCAUUGAGAAAUGCAAAUUUAGGAGAUUUCUUGUCCCUAAAGGUAUUUAUCAAUGGAAGCCAAAAGGCAACCAUGUUAGCACUUACCCACUUGGACCCAAUGAAAAUUGGGUACCAACUUCUCUCUUUUGAUGUUGUAGGAUGAGUGCCUUGCCUCCGCAGAUAGAAGGUGGUUUCUUGACAGCGGCUGCUCGAGGCACAUGACCGGUGACAUAUCGCUCUUUAUAGACUUCAAGGCAAAGAAGAAGGGAUAUGUCACUUAUGGAGACAACAACAAAGGAGCUAUACUCGGCAAAGGUAGUGUAGGUAAUCCCUCCACCACUACUAUUUCAAAUGUCCAUUUAGUUGAGGGACUUAAACACAAUUUGUUAAGCAUAAGUCAACUAUGCGACAUGGGCUAUAAAGUGUCGUUUACAAAAACUUGCUGCAUAAUUGAACAUGUUGAACAAAACAUUGUGUUUAAGGGUGUAAGAGUAAACAAUAUCUAUAUGCUUGACUUGUUUGAUGUACCUUUAACAAAUACUAAAUGUCUAGUCACCUUGAAUGAUGAUUCUUGGCUUUGGCAUAGACGUUUAGCGCAUGUUAAUUUCGAUUUGCUAAAUAAGGUUGUAUCUAAGGAUCUAGUAGUCGGUCUACCAAAAAUAAAAUUUUCAAAAGACCACCUAUGUGACGCGUGCCAAAUGGGAAAGCAAACAAGGGUGUCUUUUAAAUCUAAAAAUGUAAUUUCAACUUCACGACCCCUUGAGCUUCUCCAUAUGGACCUCUUUGGACCUUCUAGGACAAAGAGCCUAGGUGGAAAUUACUAUGGCUUUGUAAUAGUUGAUGACUACUCUAGAUUCACUUGGACUAUAUUCCUUCAUAGCAAAGAUGAAACUUUUUCUGCUUUUAAAAAUUUUGCAAAUCUGUCCCAAAACAAAAUGAAUUCCAAAAUAGUUACAAUUCGUAGCGAUCAUGGUGGUGAGUUUCAAAAUUAUCACUUUGAGAAGUUUUGUGACAAGUAUGGCAUUGAGCAUAACUUUUCAGCCCCUCGCACUCCACAACAAAAUGGCGUUGUGGAGCGUAAAAAUCGUGUUUUAGAGGAGUUGGCAAGAACAAUGCUUAAUGAGGGUGGAUUACCAAAAUACUUUUGGGCUGAUGCUGUUAGCACAGCCUGUUAUGUUCUAAACAGAAUCUUAAUUCGCCCUAUUUUAAACAAAACUCCUUAUGAACUUUUGAAAGGAAGAAAACCAAACUUGUCACAUCUUCACGUAUUCGGUUGUAAAUGUUUUGUUUUGAAUAACGGUAAGGAAAACAUUGGGAAGUUUGAUGCAAAAGCGGAUGAAGGUAUUUUUCUUGGUUACUCAAUGUCAAGUAAAGCAUAUAGAGUGUAUAAUAAGCGUUUACUUACUGUUGAAGAGUCGGUUCAUGUUUCUUUUGAUGAGUCUUAUCCGAAAAAUGUCGGAAAAGGUAUUUCUUUUGAUGACGCAGGUGUAUCUACAGAAGACAUACUCAAGGAAGCUGUUGAGGAAACUGAUCAGUCCAAAACAGCUGCCCAUGAGAAGGAGGAAGAUACUAGUCAUGAAGAAAUUGAGGAAGAAAAGACAGCUGAAGUGAAUGAUCUUCCAACAGCUUGGAGAUCCUCAAAAGACCAUCCCAUUGACAACAUCUUGGGAGACAUUUCAAAGGGAGUAAUGACCCGGUCUAAGAUAAGUAACUUUUGUUCUCACUUCGCGUUUGUUUCACAAGUAGAACCUAAAAAUGCCAAAGAGGCCUUGAUUGAUGAAUUUUGGCUAAUGGCCAUGCAAGAAGAGCUUAAUCAAUUUAAAAGAAAUGACGUUUGGGAACUUGUCCCUCGUCCGCGAGAUCAUCAUAUCAUAGGCACUAAGUGGGUUUUUAGAAACAAGCUUGAUGAAAACGGAGUGAUUACUAGGAACAAGGCACGCUUAGUAGCACAAGGGUAUAACCAAGAGGAGGGCAUAGACUAUGAGGAAACUUAUGCUCCAGUUGCUCGCCUUGAAGCUAUACGUCUUUUGCUUGCCUAUGCGUGUUCUAAGGAUUUUAAGCUUUACCAAAUGGACGUAAAGAGUGCCUUUCUUAAUGGUGUCAUAAAUGAAGAAGUAUAUGUUUCACAACCUCCCGGUUUUGAAAAUGCUGAAAAUCCAGAUCAUGUUUACAAAUUAAAACGAGCUUUGUAUGGUCUUAAACAAGCCCCUCGGGUUUGGUAUGAAAGGCUUAGCAAAUUCCUAAUUGAUCAUGGAUAUUCAAGAGGUAAAGUGGACAAUACUCUCUUUAUUAAACACAAAGGGAAGCACAUUCUUUUAGUUCAAGUUUAUGUCGACGAUAUCAUAUUUGGUUCAACUAACAUACACUUGGUCGAAGAAUUUUCUAAGGUUAUGCAGGGUGAAUUUGAGAUGAGUCUAAUGGGGGAGCUGAACUACUUCCUAGGACUGCAAAUAAAGCAACUUGAUGAGGGUACAGCAGUAUGUCAAACAAAAUACUGCAGAGAACUACUCAAGCGCUUUGGAAUGAAUGACUCAAAAUCGAUUGACACCCCAAUGCCUACCAACGGAAAUCUAGACAAGGAUGAGCAUGGUAAGUGUGUAGAUGUCAAAAGGUUCAGAGGUAUGAUUGGAUCUCUCUUGUAUCUUUCUGCUUCUAGACCUGACAUCAUGUUUAGUGUUUGUAUGUGUGCACGCUAUCAAUCAAAUCCUAAGGAAUCGCACCUUAAAGCGGUAAAGCGCAUAUUUAGAUAUCUUCACGGAACACCUAAAUAUGGGCUUUGGUAUUCCAAAGGAAGUGAUUGUAGCUUAGUAGGGUACUCCGAUUCUGAUUUUGCUGGCUGCAAAUCAGAUAGGAAAAGCACAAGUGGUACAUGUCACCUGUUUUCAAACUCCUUGGUCAGUUGGCAUAGCAAAAAGCAAGUUUCUGUGGCUUUGUCAACUGCAGAGGCAGAAUACGUUGCAGCCGGUAGUUGUUGCGCUCAGAUUUUAUGGCUGAAGCAGCAACUACAAGACUUCAACAUUCAACUCAAACGUAUUCCUAUCAAAUGUGACAACACUAGUGCCAUAAACCUUACUAAAAACCCUGUUUUACACUCACGCACUAAACACAUAGAGAUUAGACAUCAUUUCCUUCGUGAUCAUGUUGAAAAAGAAGACGUUGUCUUUGAGCACGUUGAUUCCAAAAAUCAGCUUGCUGAUAUUUUCACUAAACCAUUGGCAACGGAACCUUUCUUCAACAUACGUCGUGAAUUAGGAAUCUUAGAUCUAUCUCAUUUGAUGUCAUAAGCAUGUUACAUCUUAAUUAUAUUAUGCCUCACCGGGUGUGACAAGCACUGUUUUGGAUGUCAAUUAUCCUUCACAAAAUCUCUCCAACAGAGGUAAUAUCAAUCCUUUCUACAAUUUUCUUAUUGAUUAGUGAUUGUGUGUUAGAACAAAUAUGCUUACUCCAGUUGAUGUAAAGUUUGCUUGAAUAUACUUCCUGUCUAUAAUGUGUGCUCAUUAACAAUCUGAUUCCUGAGCAAAAGUAUCAUGACACAGUGCUGCUGCAUAAUCAUACUGCAUUAAAACUCAUUAAAAACCAGUUCAGCAUCAGUAGGUAUCGACACAUACGAAGCCUGCAUCGAUACGUAUGCUCUGAAAUCAAAUUUUUUGAAAAACUGCUUCAGUAUGCAUCGAUGCAUCUAUCGCCUGUAUCGAUACACAAGGCAAUUGUAAACACUAGGCAUCGACGCAUCCAUCGCAUGUAUCGAUACAUAUGACAAUUUUGAAAUACUUGGCAUCGACGCAUAACUCUCUGCAUCGAUACUUACUGCUGUCAUCUGAAUUAAAUGCAUUUUUUUCUCUCUCAUGCAUCGACACAUCAACCAAUCAUAUCAUCUCUUAUCUCAUUACUUCAUCUCAUCUGCCCUCAAAAACCCCAAAACCAGUGGCUAACCCUAAUCCUUCUCAUCUUCACUCUCUCACAAACUUGGUAAAACCCUAAAUCUCACAUCACCAUGCCUCCACGCACUAUUCCAGCCAGAGCCAAAGGAAAAGGAAAGGGAAAGGAAGCAGCCGGUACGUCUCAGCAACCACCAGAUGUUCCUUCAAAUGCCUUAGACAUUCUUCAUCCUGCCAUUGCUGCUGAAUUUGAGGAAUCCUUCAAGGCCAGGUUGGUAAUGAAACCUCAUAUCUUUGAUAAAACAGAUGCUGUUCACCUGCACCUAAAUGAAGUAGUUGAACUGUUACAUGCACAAAAACUUGGGUCCUUUCUAUCUACAAAAGAUGACUAUCAUGAGGAUUUCAUCCGGGCCUUUUAUGCUGGUUUACACACUGGUCCAGGCUAUAUGUUCCGGUGUUCUAUCGGAGUCAGAACAUAUACCUUUGAAGCCNNNNNNNNNNNNNNNNNNNNNNNNNNNNNNNNNNNNNNNNNNNNNNNNNNNNNNNNNNNNNNNNNNNNNNNNNNNNNNNNNNNNNNNNNNNNNNNNNNNNNNNNNNNNNNNNNNNNNNNNNNNNNNNNNNNNNNNNNNNNNNNNNNNNNNNNNNNNNNNNNNNNNNNNNNNNNNNNNNNNNNNNNNNNNNNNNNNNNNNNNNNNNNNNNNNNNNNNNNNNNNNNNNNNNNNNNNNNNNNNNNNNNNNNNNNNNNNNNNNNNNNNNNNNNNNNNNNNNNNNNNNNNNNNNNNNNNNNNNNNNNNNNNNNNNNNNNNNNNNNNNNNNNNNNNNNNNNNNNNNNNNNNNNNNNNNNNNNNNNNNNNNNNNNNNNNNNNNNNNNNNNNNNNNNNNNNNNNNNNNNNNNNNNNNNNNNNNNNNNNNNNNNNNNNNNNNNNNNNNNNNNNNNNNNNNNNNNNNNNNNNNNNNNNNNNNNNNNNNNNNNNNNNNNNNNNNNNNNNNNNNNNNNNNNNNNNNNNNNNNNNNNNNNNNNNNNNNNNNNNNNNNNNNNNNNNNNNNNNNNNNNNNNNNNNNNNNNNNNNNNNNNNNNNNNNNNNNNNNNNNNNNNNNNNNNNNNNNNNNNNNNNNNNNNNNNNNNNNNNNNNNNNNNNNNNNNNNNNNNNNNNNNNNNNNNNNNNNNNNNNNNNNNNNNNNNNNNNNNNNNNNNNNNNNNNNNNNNNNNNNNNNNNNNNNNNNNNNNNNNNNNNNNNNNNNNNNNNNNNNNNNNNNNNNNNNNNNNNNNNNNNNNNNNNNNNNNNNNNNNNNNNNNNNNNNNNNNNNNNNNNNNNNNNNNNNNNNNNNNNNNNNNNNNNNNNNNNNNNNNNNNNNNNNNNNNNNNNNNNNNNNNNNNNNNNNNNNNNNNNNNNNNNNNNNNNNNNNNNNNNNNNNNNNNNNNNNNNNNNNNNNNNNNNNNNNNNNNNNNNNNNNNNNNNNNNNNNNNNNNNNNNNNNNNNNNNNNNNNNNNNNNNNNNNNNNNNNNNNNNNNNNNNNNNNNNNNNNNNNNNNNNNNNNNNNNNNNNNNNNNNNNNNNNNNNNNNNNNNNNNNNNNNNNNNNNNNNNNNNNNNNNNNNNNNNNNNNNNNNNNNNNNNNNNNNNNNNNNNNNNNNNNNNNNNNNNNNNNNNNNNNNNNNNNNNNNNNNNNNNNNNNNNNNNNNNNNNNNNNNNNNNNNNNNNNNNNNNNNNNNNNNNNNNNNNNNNNNNNNNNNNNNNNNNNNNNNNNNNNNNNNNNNNNNNNNNNNNNNNNNNNNNNNNNNNNNNNNNNNNNNNNNNNNNNNNNNNNNNNNNNNNNNNNNNNNNNNNNNNNNNNNNNNNNNNNNNNNNNNNNNNNNNNNNNNNNNNNNNNNNNNNNNNNNNNNNNNNNNNNNNNNNNNNNNNNNNNNNNNNNNNNNNNNNNNNNNNNNNNNNNNNNNNNNNNNNNNNNNNNNNNNNNNNNNNNNNNNNNNNNNNNNNNNNNNNNNNNNNNNNNNNNNNNNNNNNNNNNNNNNNNNNNNNNNNNNNNNNNNNNNNNNNNNNNNNNNNNNNNNNNNNNNNNNNNNNNNNNNNNNNNNNNNNNNNNNNNNNNNNNNNNNNNNNNNNNNNNNNNNNNNNNNNNNNNNNNNNNNNNNNNNNNNNNNNNNNNNNNNNNNNNNNNNNNNNNNNNNNNNNNNNNNNNNNNNNNNNNNNNNNNNNNNNNNNNNNNNNNNNNNNNNNNNNNNNNNNNNNNNNNNNNNNNNNNNNNNNNNNNNNNNNNNNNNNNNNNNNNNNNNNNNNNNNNNNNNNNNNNNNNNNNNNNNNNNNNNNNNNNNNNNNNNNNNNNNNNNNNNNNNNNNNNNNNNNNNNNNNNNNNNNNNNNNNNNNNNNNNNNNNNNNNNNNNNNNNNNNNNNNNNNNNNNNNNNNNNNNNNNNNNNNNNNNNNNNNNNNNNNNNNNNNNNNNNNNNNNNNNNNNNNNNNNNNNNNNNNNNNNNNNNNNNNNNNNNNNNNNNNNNNNNNNNNNNNNNNNNNNNNNNNNNNNNNNNNNNNNNNNNNNNNNNNNNNNNNNNNNNNNNNNNNNNNNNNNNNNNNNNNNNNNNNNNNNNNNNNNNNNNNNNNNNNNNNNNNNNNNNNNNNNNNNNNNNNNNNNNNNNNNNNNNNNNNNNNNNNNNNNNNNNNNNNNNNNNNNNNNNNNNNNNNNNNNNNNNNNNNNNNNNNNNNNNNNNNNNNNNNNNNNNNNNNNNNNNNNNNNNNNNNNNNNNNNNNNNNNNNNNNNNNNNNNNNNNNNNNNNNNNNNNNNNNNNNNNNNNNNNNNNNNNNNNNNNNNNNNNNNNNNNNNNNNNNNNNNNNNNNNNNNNNNNNNNNNNNNNNNNNNNNNNNNNNNNNNNNNNNNNNNNNNNNNNNNNNNNNNNNNNNNNNNNNNNNNNNNNNNNNNNNNNNNNNNNNNNNNNNNNNNNNNNNNNNNNNNNNNNNNNNNNNNNNNNNNNNNNNNNNNNNNNNNNNNNNNNNNNNNNNNNNNNNNNNNNNNNNNNNNNNNNNNNNNNNNNNNNNNNNNNNNNNNNNNNNNNNNNNNNNNNNNNNNNNNNNNNNNNNNNNNNNNNNNNNNNNNNNNNNNNNNNNNNNNNNNNNNNNNNNNNNNNNNNNNNNNNNNNNNNNACCAGUGUUUGUUUCUUGUCGAAUUCAUGUGAGCAUAUGAAAGACUAAUCUGAUAUCUGGUUUGGCUCAAGAAUGCGCAAGAGCUAUUACGUUGGAGCACUUUGAAGUGUACAGUGGGAAGUCACAUCAUGAAAACAUGAUAAGUAGACGCUUCAUGCUUCUUCUGUAUUCUGGUCUCCAAUCACUCUUCUUUCAUAGAACAUUGUAGGUCAUCAUAUACGAAUUCUUGUUUCGUGUUGGGGGUAUUCAUAGAGAAGAUUGAGAUAGGGGACGUUCAGUGGUGUGAUCAAAGGAUCUAGCUGUGGGUUGCAGUGGAACGAUCGAGGAUCUAGCUGAGUCGAAGAUGAAGGGGUUGUUGGAAAAACCUACCGGUUUGUCCUUCAAUGAACUGGUGGUGUUCUUGAGUGGUUUCGGACGUCACAUUUUUGCAGAUAUCAGAUUUCAGGGUCUCUCUGCCGCAGCGUUGCGUUUGGUAGUAAUGCGGUUGCCAUUCUCCGCAAUGCAGCGUUCCGUUGCUGGGUAAGGCCGUUGUAAUUGUGUGGUUGGCAAUCUGUUAGUGCGAGGGAGAAAGGCUUUGAUUCGAUUGUCUGUUUUUCAGACUCUAAGUUGAAGUUUUAUACAGCAGUUCUUAAGUUUAGCGUCUUGGAGUUUAGAUAAUUCUUGGUUUGUUGUCUAAAACCUGCGUGUCAGAUCGGCUUCGGUUGCAAUAUUGAUAAUCAAGGUAUCUCAAUUUCUAUUAGAAAUUGAGAUGGGCGGACAGUACCCUACGGGACGCAGGGACGGACGGGCGUAAUCUUUCCCUUAACAAAUCUCUUGCGUAAUCGUCACUCUUUACCUAAUUCUCUUUACGUUUCAAAACUGUCUUGGCAAUUUUCUGCUUAGUGCUGUGGUGAUUGAUCAUAAUCUGGCACAGCAUUGAAUAAUAAAACCUUAAUCAUACACAUUGCUGUUUAUCAUCAAACACUCAGCACCACCAACUGUUUGACAAACGGUUAACUAAAUUGUGAUUCAUUGGCAAAAUGAUAUUGUAGGAUAGCGCAAUUCAAUCUGUUUAAUAUUCUGUGUGUAUUAUUUGUCAUUCUCAUAAAAUCCAGCAACUGCCACUUUGCGUAGUCCGGUGCUUUCUAGCUAGCCAGUUUCAGAAAGACGGAAGUCGAUUCGGGACUGCUUUUUCCGCUGUUUUCUGAAAACUCUGAUUAAACGUUAAAUCCGUUAAAUUUUAAAGAGGUGAUCUAUUCACCCCCCCUCUCGAUCACUAGCCACACCGUCUAACAAUGUUCAUUUUGGAGGGAAAUUGAAGAAUUUGAAUUUGGUUAAUCACAUGAGCUAAAUACCAUUGCCAUUGUGUUCAUGAAUUGAUUUUGAGUGAGUAUACACCUCCACAUGCUACUGUUCACGUCCAAAAUUUGCCAUGCACCUCACACUUUCCACUUUUGGUCAUACACCUUAUUUUUCUUAAUCUCAAUUAACCAAUGCAAAUGUGGAUUAACAAUAUGAUUAGGACAGAGUAUAAAUGCCAAAUCAUAACAGAAUUCUGGAGUUUUUUUCACUCAUUAUAGAUCUAGAUCCAAAUUCCCUCCAAAAAUUCUCUCAAUCCAAAUUUGAAAAUUCUUCACAUAACACUUGAAUUUUAUUGCAUAUUCGAGUUCAUUUAUCAUCACUGAGUGUAAAUCAAGUUGUGGAUUAAAGGUUUUGGUGAAGAAUCAAGCAAAUCGUGCAUGAACACAUGAACAUGGAGCUUUGAGUUUCAGCAAGAUCCAAGCCAAUUGAAGCAUCAAAUCAUGUACCAGACUUCAUAGCAAGGUUGAGGAAGAAUCUGGAGCUGAGAGCACUUGCCAAUCCUCAUUAAAUCAGUUCAUUGCUUCUUCAGGUUCGGUUAAAAAUAUCGAAUCUCCUUAAUUCUUCAACAUGUUUAGGUAGAUCUCAUCAUGCUGAGAAUUCUGAUGGUUAUAGAUUUAAAUUUGGUUGAGAUUUGGUUGAGAUAUGUUAGUUUUAAGUUUUGAACAUGAAAGAUGUUUUCAUUCGAUUCAUGAAAUGUGUGAUGAUUUAGACUUAGUUGAUGAUAGAUCCAUGUUCUACGCCUCAUGAGCUUUCGAUUGGUAUUUUUAUUGCGCGAUUCUGGAUUUUUUUUUUGUUGAAGCUACUGUAGCCUCGCCGGUCUCAACGAGGAAGACGGUGGAAACCACCGUCAACCUUCGCGUGUGAUUAGUGGCAGACGCUUCUGGUUGAGCGUUAGGGCUUGUCCCUGUCAUCGCCACGCAUGCGUCCUGCUAGUGAAACCAUAGGCCAGGAUUCCUUUGACUUGUCUACAUGUGCUUGGACUUUGCUGACUGGAACGCCACUUCAAUUAAUGAAGUGUUGCAUUUUGGAACCUUGCGCCAUACCUCCAUUCGAUUCCCAAUGGCAGCGCUUUUGUGAUUUAUUUCUUCAGCGCCUUCUAUUUUUUCAUGUACCUGGUUCGAUUCCAGCUGAUAGCAUAUUUUCAAAUUAAUCAAUCCAAUUUCAUUUCCCUCCAAUUAUCAUGUGCUUUCUUCAUUUUUAUUUCAAUAUUUCCAUCCAACUUCAAAAAAUCAUAACAAAUAGAAUAUUGAUCCAAAUUGAAUGCAAUUUUUUCCUACAUGUUCAUCUUGAUGUCUAGUAUUUUAUAAUGUCCAUUUCCCGAUUUUAUCAUUUCUGGAUUUUGAAUGGUGAACUGUUAUUUGAACAUGAUGCAAAAUGUGACAUGUUGUACCAAUUCUCUUGUGAAAUGCUCAUUAAUUGGCCAAUUGCUUUGAAAUUUGAUAUGCUGAUUCCUAACAUGUUACAUGAUAUUUGAGCUUUUAUUUGGCAUUUUUAGCAUAUUCCAUCUCUGUUUGGGACACAUGGAUGUAUGGUGUGACAAUGUGUGUCACACAUUUUGAUGUUGCUCUUGUUCAUUUUCAUAUACAUGUCAAUUGAGCUUUUCUGAUUCUAAUUUUUUGCAUGAUGCUUGUGUUUAACAUGUUGUGUGCACAUAAAAAUUUCCAUGGUUAUUUGAUUCAUUUCUGUUUUAAUAUGGAAUUUCUACUCUUAAUGUCCAAUUGUGUGCUUUGUAAUUGCAGCUUGUGUUUAACAUGUUGUGUGCACAUAAAAAUUUCCAUGGUUAUUUGAUUCAUUUCUGUUUUAAUAUGGAAUUUCUACUCUUAAUGUCCAAUUGUGUGCUUUGUAAUUGCCUUUGCCUUAUUUUGCGCUUUAGAUGGCUUUGCUUAUUGAUUUGGAUUUGAUCCUUUUUAGGACAUGUUCUCACUUGAUUAAAUGUGUUUCAUGUUGAAUAUAACCUUCUGUUUUGACUUUUUGCUUUGCCUUUGACCCUAGUCUUGGACCAGUGGUUUGUACUCACCUUUUGAGCUUUGUAUUUCAGGUUCAAGCAAUUAACUCUAAGUGUUGAUGUGAUCUUAAUUCAUGAGAUGCAAAUUACUUUGUACACUAACCUUGGUUGUGUUGUAGGGUCAUUGGUGAUGAACUCAUUUGAGUUGUUGACUUGUAUUGUGUACAUAUUGAGGAACCACUGUUGUUGACUGUUUGGUGUGUCUGAAUGUGAAUACUGACUGUUUGACUCUUUUACAGGUACUUUAGUCGCUUUUAGCUCAUUCCUUGAGCUUUGCUUUGCUUGUGGUUGGCAUACCACCUAGGUAAUCAUUCUCUAACUCCAUGUAGUCUGGAAGCCCUGUCGUUUCUUUUGGCAAGCAUUUGGCUGAAGUCCUCCUUAAGAGGCAAUGACUAUGGUUGUUUAUAUUUGUGCCAUGUACUUCAAGUCCUCCUAAGUGAAGAGGCAAUUGGCAGAUUGAAGGGAUUAACAAUCAAUCCCCUGCUAAUCAUUUGAUUCGUUCGUUAAGCUCGCACUACGUGCUGAUGCUCUUAAACCUAACCCAAGAUCUUUGUAUAUAGAGUCAGUCAGGUGGAGUAGGGUCCCACAUUCUGGAUCCCCACGCCUUCUUUGUCUUGAGCUCACCCAGGCCCGGGUUAAGAGCUAUGUCCAGAAUAGGAGUAAUGGAAAGUAGACGAGUGGGACUGCCAGUUAUUCAGUGGUUAAGAGCCUCAGACACCCCUUCCAGUGUUGGCUUGUUUGUCGAGGUUGAUAUGACCCCUUGACUAAAGCCCAGCCUUGUAUGAGCCGCUUGUUUGCAUAUAGUGUGUGAUACUUAUUCACCUGUGAUGUUUACUUGCUAUUUAUUUGCUGUUUCAACUUGCUUGCGUUGCGAGUUAGGAUCUGUUUAGAUACCUCAACCUAGGACUAUUGUGGAUUGCAUGACAACUUCUAGGCUCGAGUCAUAGUCUCCCUUUUAGUUGUUAUCUCCCUAGUCUCUGGUUAGGACAGUUUUUCCCUGUUAAGGGGAACUACGUCGCUCUGAUCCUCAUACCAGAUGAGGUACGUAGGCAGGAGAUCGUGCGAGAUCUCUCCGGGCACCCUUUUCUUUUUUGGCGUGUGUUUUGCUUGACAGCUAUUAAGUCCGAGUUCCCGACUCCCUUUUAGUCUGUGUGUUCAACCUCUUUGUUUCUUUUGACGUCUCAACGUCUUCUUGGUGUUUGCUUGACAGCUUUUAGGUUCGAGUACCAGACUCCCUGUUAGCUUGUCAAUUUGAUAACCUUUGUGUGUGUGUUUGGAGUCUGAUGUAAGCCCAGCGAUUGGCAUUCGGUUUCCCGUUUGUGUUUGUUUGUUUGGAGUCUGAUGUAAGUCCAGAUAUUGGCCUUCGGUUUCCUGUUUCGUUUGUGUGUUCGGAGUCAGAUGUAAGACCAUUGAUUGGCUAUCUGUUUCCUGUUUCUUUGUUUGGAGUCGGAUGUAAGCCCAGCUAUUGGCAUUCCGUUUCCUUGUUGAGUUUCUUUUGACGUCUCAGCGUCUUUGUUUUGUGUUUUGUUUCGACGUGCGUUAGCCGAACUACGGUAGCUCUGAUUCUCAUUCCAGAUGAGAUACGUAGGCAUAGGAUGCGAUAUCCUAGCGAGCCCGUUCCCCAUUUCCCCAAACUACGUUGACUCUGAUGUUUGUUUCUGUAGGCCCAAGAUGCGACAUCCUGCCGAGUCCCCUUCCUCCGUCUUCUUUCACCUAUUUGCUUAUUCCAGUGCGUGUGCAUUCUUUGAGCAGUUUCUCAGCAACCUAUUCUAUUCUUUUGAGCGUGGAUCCCGUCGAGUACGACGGACGUGAGGGGUGCUAAUACCUUCCCCUUGCGUAACCGACUCCCGUACCUUGCAAUCUCUGGUCGUAAGACCAUUCCUUUCCCUUUUUCAGGUUUACUUAGAGCGUUUCCUUUCCCUCCUUUGGGAUAAAUAACGCACGGUGGCGGCUCUGUGUCUUUUUCCCGCCGGUUGUUUUUCGCGUUGCGACACAUGUUUCUUUCCUUCUAUAAUGUUUCCUUGUUGGAUGCAUUAUGCAUGUCUCGCUAGGCGAGCAAACCAGUGGCUUGCAGUAGAAUAUGUUUUGCUAUGUUUGCUAGGACUCGGUAGGUCUCGCUAAGCGAGACUGUUGAUCUUAAGGAAAUGUAACAUUUUUACUUGUCUCGCCUGAGUCUCACUGUGAGCUCGCUAGACGAGAGCUUGCUAUACGAGAGCUCGCUUAAAGGCCUCGCCGGGUCUCACUAAGUGAGACAAGGAACAGUCCAAAGGUCUGAAAUUUAUGCCUCACAUCACUUGAAGCUCACCCCGAGCUCGCUAAGCAGGGGCUCUGAUACUUGGAAAAAUGUUAAGUGUUCCUAUUUCCACUAUAAAACGGGGAUCAUAACUUUGAUUGACGUGAUAUAGAAUGCCUUGAAGAGAUAAUGCAAUAUUAUAUCUAUUGAGAUAUGAAUCAUGCAUGUAUCUCAUAAUGUUUUAUGUAUUAUUAUAUUUAUGUUGUGAAUUAUAUUAUGAAUUGUUGGUUGAAUUGAAUGCAUAAUAACUGAAUUAACUUAUGAUGUUGAGUGAGGUGAAUCUAGGUUAAUAACUAGGUGAAUGAACUAGUAAUAACAACUUAGGUUAUGAAGAUGACUUAAGUGUGAUGCUUGGACGCGAAGGUACCUCGGUGUGUAUCACAAAUGAGUAGCUGCUAGAAUUAUGAAUUAAUAGGCUUUGUAUGGAACAUGUUAUGAUGAUAUGAGAAUUGGUGAAUGUGAUCACCUAGUGAUUGAUGAGUGAAAUCAUGUUCAUGUGAACCUAAUCAUGUAUUCAGAAAUAACCCUUGAUCAUGAACAUCCCAAUUGAGAUGCUUAUGUGAAGUAGGAUUGGUAUGUAGGAACCAUUGGUUCGUGCCUCACAAAUGGUUUUGAGUCUCAUUAAUGGGUUUGAGUCCCAUAAAGGAUUAGUUGACCUUCAAGUGGGUUAGAGUCCCAUACGAGGAAAGAUACACUACUACAGAUAAUACAUUUCAUGACAAUGAUUCCACCUUCAUAGGGACCUUUAGGAGGUCGAGUACCUUCCCAUAUCUGAGUACAAACCUUCUUUGAAUAGAGCCAUGCAUUUAAUCUCGGAGAACCUUCGAACUUUAUAUGUUAGGUACUUGUGCGUUAAUUUGAAUGUUCUUUCUCUUAUCUGAGUCCAUCUCUAAAAGGUACCUACAACAAACUUUAAAAUUCCCCACAAAGUAAUGAUUAUAUGAGAAAAAAGGCCCAUUUUAAUGCAAAUGAUAUGAUAUGUCAUGCAAAUUUUGAUGUAGGACAUAUAUGUGAAUAGAACAACCUGACGGAGGGCUUCUAUAAAAGGUCCUAGGUUUUUCUACCCAACCCCUUCACAAGGCAUGUUCUAGGAUUUCAUUUGGUUGUGUGAGAAUACACCUACAGUUACAUACCAUACAUGGAAUUUCAUCAUGAUAGGGCGUAACCCUUCCAUGAUAAAAUUUCAACAUGCGCAAGGUUAUGGACCACAUGUGGAAUUUCAUCAUGAUAUGGCAUAACCCUUCCAUGAUAAAAUUUCAAUAGGGUUCCCCUUAGAGAGCCUUCAUAUAAAAGAAGUCUCGUGUUCGGGUUCUAGAAGAGAUCCCUAGAGUCAUGGAUCAAAUUCAAAGUUUCAUCAUGAAGAUGGGCUAGCCAACUCAUGACAAACUCUUUGAAAUGAUCUAUUCUAGACAGAGCCCUCGUUAAAAAGCCCAUGAGAUAAGAAUCCGCAGUGGCCAAAAUAGGACAAACCCCUUACAUAAACUUAUGUUUCAUCUCGUCAAACUCGAAUAUAGAGCUUGCUCUCAAACAGAAAUGAAAAAACCGAAGAGUGUUAAGAACAAAGGUAUGAAAUAAUAAAGUAAUAAAAUAAAUAAAUAAAGACAAACAAAGAAAUAAGAUAAAUAAAUAAAUAAAUAAACAAAACAAACAACCCUAGAACUAAAGGGUAGACUUGACUCUCUUUAGGAAAAUUCCCCAGUAGAGUCGUCAGCCGUCGCAUCUCAAAAAAUAUGAUCUCGUGAAGCGCAUUGAAUGCUCGCGGAUGGACUGACAGAGUCGCCACCGUUCUGUAUUUAUUCCUAAGAAAAGGGAAAACGAUGAUAAAAUAGUAAGGAAAAAAAAAGGAUAAGAUGGUCAUCCCUCACAUCUAUUGUACUCAACGAGAACAUCAUAAAGUUCUAAGGUUGAUUAUUUGUUAAGGGUCUAUUUAUUUUAUUUUAUUUUUAUUCGAGUGUUUACAAAAAGAAAUUAUUUACAAUGGAACAAGUGUUUUUAAUUAUUCUACUUGCCAAGGUUUCAAAACUUCGUGCCUAUGUAUUCUAAUUAUGCAAUAAGAAAAUCAGAGCAUUGUAGUUCGUAAAAAAAGUUUGUGUGUUGGUUGCUUUUAUAUGAUAGAAUUUAAGUCAUUCUUGCAUUCAAACGUCGUCUUGAAUGCUAGCCCUAUGGAGGCUUAAGCGCUUGUUUUGUUUUGCGUUGAAAAUUACUCGGAUUAUCCUUUUAUGAAAAAGAUUGUUGGAAUGGUGCACAAGGGCACAUAAGAGGUUUGAUGAAUGGUGUUUGAUUUUAUGUGUUUUGGUUCUAAGUAAUUGAUCAAUGCAGAGAGCGCUAACCAAUCAAUUACUCAGGGACAUGGUGGAUGUGUAUCCACCUCCCAUUUGUAAAAAAUAUUGAUUUAAUUUAACUUAUAAAAGUAGUUUGAUGAUAUUACCAAUAUGAAUUAUUUACAAGUUGAGAAAAAAAAUCUUAUUUUGUAUUUAUUUUAUUAAUUUGAAUAUAAGAAGGAAUAUUAUAUAUAUAUUUUUAAAAUUGAUUUUAAAUAAGAAGAAGGAUUAUGAUUGGUUGUUUGAACUUAUAAAAUAAAGGGAAAUAUUAUUCAUCAUUCUUUAUCAUUAACCAACUAAUUAAAAUUAGAAUUAAAAUGAAAAAAAAAUUGUUUUAAAUUAAAUAAAAAAGGACAGUUUUUGUAACUAGCUAACAAUUAGUUAAACUAAUUAACACUUAAGCACAAUUUUAAAAAAAACACUAAAUGACUAACUUAAAAAUACAAAUAAAUAAUAAAAAUAAUAAGAAAUAAGAAAAUAAAAUAGAAUUAGGAGGGGGUGCAAAUUCAGUGGGGAUAUUGGACUUUAAGCAACAUUGGAGGGUGUGAGAAGCAAUGGGCAUUAGGCCCAACUUUCAAAAUCCCAGACAGAAAGGAGAAAAUAAAAAAAAUGGAAAAAAAACUUGGCAAACAUGGGCCACUAAAUCUGAUUACAAAGAGAAGUCAAGAUUCCUCCUGGGAGUCAACUGAUCAUAUUGAUGUGAUUGAAGGUUUUUGAUAACAAGGGUGGUUGGCAGCGCAUGGGACUAGUCAAUGGUCAUCUUAUCUGAGUGGCCAGGAGAAGCCAUAUGUUGCUCAUCUGCAACGAGAUGAUGAGAGUAUAUAAACGAAACUCUCUUGAGAAACUCUCAUUUCCUUCUCUUCUUUCUCUCUCUAAUCCCCCAUAUCUCUUAUUUCUACUCCCUUUUCCCUCUUUCUAAGACCACCACCCCAGGGCUCUCCCAUAUCUCUAAAACACCUCGAGCUGAAAAUCGCCUCUGCCGGUGGUUCCACCCUGGCAACCUUUAAUAGACCAUCCCUUUCAACCGGUGUUCAUCAAGAUGAUGAACAUUAACCCAGAUAUUCAACCAAACAUGAACCUUAGGCUUUUGAAACCCAGAACCCUAAGAACCAUACACCUAAAACAUGAACCCUAACGAACCCUAACCCUGACCUUCAAUCUAAACCCAUAUUCCUAAGAACCCUAACAAUAUUAACAUGAACCAUAAACCUAACUCCAAGAACCCUAACUACCCAGAACCUUCAUCUUCUUCUUCAACCAUUAACCUCUAAACCUAAAUCAACCCAGAACCAUACGUAACCCAUUCCAAAUCCACCCUACCCUUUUCCAAACCUUAUAUAAGAGCUUCUUAAAUAUUAAUCCACCCUCAAAACAACAACAUCAAGCCAAAAAAUCUCAAACCAUAACACCUCAAAAUCAUCUUCUGUUUGAACACAAGUCGAACCUUUCCUAAACCUAAAUCAUACUAGAGCAACAUGUAAACAUAAAACAAUCCCCAUAACUACAACAAAAACCCUAACUUUUAUGAAACUCAACCAUUCGUGCGAAGAGAUUCAACAAGAAAGCCUACCUACAAGGAUGAGACUUUCCCUGGUGAAAAGGUAAUAUAUUUCCUUUGAUCUUUAUUUCUUUUUAAUGCUGCUAUCUUCUACUUUCUAGUCUUCCUUCUGGCUCUCCUUCCUUUUCCUUUUGAUGCAAGGUCUGGCUUAUGGAAUCCUGAUGGAGUGAUUGGAGAAAAAUUUAGGACUUUAGUUGUUAUUGUUCUUCAGGGUGAAAAACAAUAACUUAAGGUUAGAAUUUGUGAAUGAAGAACUGUAAAAAAGCUUUGUUAUUUAUAGUGAAAAUUAGGUUUAGGUUUUUAUGUCAGAUUGAUUAGAUUAGAAAGUUUUGGAUGUAAUUUGUUAGUCUUCCCAUAUUGAAAUGUAAUAGAAAUUCCAUAUUAAUGAAAAGAUUAUAUAUUUGCUUUUUUCUUCUAUUUGAUCCUCUCUGAUUCCACUGUUCAUGCUACUGUAGGUUUUGUUCUAAUUUUAAACUUUUAGACUUUUGUUUAACUUCGUUGACUCAGUAUAAUAACAAAAUAAUAAUAGAGAAAAAAAAUGACAAUAACGUUGUUGAGAAAAUAAUAAGUUUAAAAAGAGAAAAAUAAAAAGACACUCUACUUAAUAUUAAAUAAUGAUAAUUAAAAAUACUAAUACUAAUGUUAUUAAUUAGAAAUAAUAAUAGUAAUAAUAAUAUCCUAAUAAUACUAAAUAAACAAUAAUCUAAUAAUAAUAAAUAAUAAUACUAAUAGAUAGUAGUUUAAUGAUAAUAAUUAAUAAUAAUCUAAAUAAUACUUAAUACUUAAUUAUAAAAUUACUAAUUUUGCUAAAUAAUCACAAUGUCAAAAAGUAGUAACAUUAGCAACAAAAAUAAAAACGCUUUAUGUGCCAGUGAACAUAAAAAAGAGAUAAUCACAAUGACCAAAAAUAGUAAUAUUAGCAACAAAAAUAAAAAACACUUUAUGUGCUAGUGAACUUAAAAAAGUAGAUAAAAGUCAAAAUGGUCCUCCUUUGACUUUUAGGUUAUUCGAGUUGACCAGAUAACUUAAUCAUGAAUGACUUAGAUGGAACAUGGCCUUAGAUGAUAACUCAAGUGAACUGAGACUGACGCAAGGCACUCAUGCAUUGGACCUACCCUAAUGUAAACUAUAGUUUUAAGACACUGAGAUGGAUAAAGUAAAUGGGGUCAAAAUUUGGACUAUGAUAAUGAACAACACCUUUCAAAUGUCAAGUCCCACCAUGAAAACAAGUCUUAGGUAGCAAAUCUAAAACAUGUAUUAAGAACAAAGAUCCAUCAAUAUUAAAUCUUGAAUAAACUUACAUAGAACUCCAUGAACUAUUUAGUACUGGAAUAUAAUGACUACAUCUACAUCCAACAAAAAUAUUUUUAGCUACGCUUACUCAUCGUAGUUGUUUCGAUAAUCCUGGGAAGAUAAUCUUGGAAUUUUAUCUGCCAUAAAUCUCCCACUCUUGUUCUCUUAUUGGAGACCAAUGUGAACCUACUUCAAUUCUAUACUACCCCAAUCCACCGAAACUCCACUAAAAUUGAAUUGGGAACCCCUAUUUAUUGUUGAUAAAAUAGGAGUUUCGUUGGGCGCGCUUUCCUCUCGACCAUCGAGCCUGCUUUUCUUUAGGGUAAGAAACUUCUAGUUAAUACUACAGUUAGCCAUAAUUCCCCCUUGGCACUGGGUGCACCGCUCUCUCGAUCAACGAAGCAACCCUUCCUUCACCAUGAAGUAACUUAGCCUUAAAGUCUUAUAGCUUUCUGAGUUUGUUGGGCGUGCCCAGAGUCACGACUCAAUGAGCCUGUCUUGACUGAAACUUUGUUGGGACUUUGUUUUAGCUACGCCUUUGUGCCAUGAUUUAUGAUUUUCCAGUUCUUUUUACAUGUUUUUGAUUAAUACAUACUAGAAAACUCCAAAAAGUUAUUCCAAUUUUUUUUGUCAUGAUUGCUUGUAAAAUAAGUUAAUAAGUUCUUACGUAUUUAAUGUAUUUCUCAACCUUAUAAAUGAUUAACAUCAUCUAUCCUUAAAGAAUUAUUCGAAUUCUCAUAAUUCAAAUUUCAUCUUUACUGCAGAUUAAUAUAUAUAAGUUUUGCAAGAUCUUACGUAUUUAACUUAUUUCUCAACCUUAUAAGUGAUUAACAUCAUCUAUCCUUAAAGAAUUAUUUGAAUUCUCAUAAUUCAAAUCUCAUAAUUUAAAUAAAUAUUACCUACAUUUCAGAGAUUAAUAUAAAUAAAUUUUGCAAGAUCGAAACCUAAAAUGACAUAUGAUUUAAAUGAUUAAAACUAAACAAAAAGUAUAAGACUAAAAUAAAUAUUGAUAAAUAUCAUAUACUUAUUUAGUUUAAACAAAAAAUAUUUUUAUAAGAUUUCAUAAAAUAAACACAUUAAUAUAUUCUACUUUUUCAUAUGUAUACAAAAUGACAAAUAAAAACAUCUAAUAUAAUAAUAUUAGCAUUAUCAAUUGACUAGUCCUCACAUAAUGUUUUUUUUAAAGAGAGAAUGAAAAAUAAAAAUUAACCAAGGUUGUAACUAAUUUUUCUUAGCCAGACAAUAAGAUAGAAUUAAAAAAAAACAUUGCCACCGCCCUACUCAACUUUGUAAUCUCAUUUUAUUUUUCUUCCCAAACAAGUUACAAUUUUCAUGGAUUCUUAAACUUUCAUUUUGUCAUCAACCUUAACUUAGAUGCCUUUUUACAUGUCCUUUUUCAUAUCUUCUUCAACAAAAUUGGAUGAAUCUUAAAUUUAAUAUGGUGACAAAAAAUAGUGUUAAAGAUAAGGCCCCAUAUUACUAAUAGCAUUUAAUUUGAUGAUACUUUUGAGGCUCUAUAAAUAAGAGUGUUGUAAGAACAUUUUCUUCCAUCCUUUUUUCAAGUAUCAUUUUGUUUUCUAAUUAUUUAUUUAGAAUGAUUAAUUUCAAAUCUUUUGAAAAAGAGUAUGAAGACCGACCACACUAAGAGUAGAGACGUCACCACCCCGAUGAACCAGAUCCUGAUCCACCAAGUAUGAACCUUGAAAUCAACAUCAAUUUAUUUGUUUAUCAACUUUGUUUAAGAUUUGGGUGAAUUAAAUUUGUGCAUGAAACUGAUAAAAGAUUUUAGGAAAAAACAUCCAUAUGAUGAAUUUUUAUAACCACUCUUCGUAUAAAUGCAUUUGGUGUAUGAUUAAAUUUUGUUGUUAUAGUAACUUAAUUAUGUAUGUUUUUGAUGAAGGUCCAAAGAUAAGCGUCUAUGAAGAGCUCAAGAGGUGUUACAACAUUGAAAAAGGUAAAAAAUUUAUAUGUUUUAUUUUAAUGGGAUUGAUAAGUAAUGUAAAUCUUGGUUAAUUAAGUCAAUUUUGUAAAAUUUUGCAACUUUAGGUGGAAGAAAAAUGAUUUUGGAGCCACUUCAUGAUGGAACCUGCAAGGAACAAGGAGGUGAAAAGUAUGGUGAUAGCGAAUUUGGUGGUAUUAGUGGCGGUGUCAGUCAAGGAGGAAGUAGUAGAGGUGGCAUAUGGAGAGGUAGGGAAAAAGGAGGUGGAAGUGGUAGUGAUGGAGAAGAUUAUGGUGGUGGAGGAAGUGGAAGUCGAAAAGGAAGAGAAUGUGGUGAUAAAGGCAGUAGAAUUGGAGGAGAUUAUAGUGGUGGAGCAAGUGGUGCUGGUAAAGGCAAUGAAGGUGGAGGAGAUUAUGGUGGUGGCAAAGGCGGUGGUAGUAAAGGAGUUUAUGGUGGUGGAAGUGAAUGUGGAAGUGGUAGCAAAGGAGAUUAUGGUUGUGGAGCUAGUGGUGAAAGUGGAGAAGGUUGUGGUAAAUGGGGAGAUUAUGGAGGUGGAGCAGGUGGUGGUAAAGGAACUGGUAGCGGAAGAGAUUAUGGUGGUGGAAGUGGUAGAGGUAACAUAGGAGAUUAUGGUGGUGGAGGUAGUGGCCAUGGAUCCGGUGGUGGAAGUAGACGUGACGACAAUGAAAGUGGAGAAGGUGGUGGAAGCAAAUGAGAAGAAGGAGGUUAUUAAUGCAAUGGUACAUGAGACUUCUAUGAUUUAUGGCAAAUAUAAAAAUAGAAUAUAAAUAUUGAGAUGUUGAUAGUAAUAAUAAUAAUAAUAAUAAUAAUAAUAAUAAUAAUAAUAAUAAUAAUAAUAAUAAUAAUAAUAAUAAUAAUCACCAUCAUGGAAAGUUCCCAUAAUUCAUUAUAUGUUUUGUUCAUAAAUACCUAUUGAUAAAUACAAACAAUACUUAAAUACUCUAAUUAAAAAGUGUUCAAAUAAUAUACCUUUAAUAUUAUUAGUAUCUUUGCAAUUCACUCAAUAUUAUUUUAAAAAAAAAAUCAAUCAAUUCUAAUGGGUCAUGAAAUCCCUAAAAAUUUGUUUAUUAUAUUAUAUAUUCCCUUCACCCUUCUUAAUUAAGUAAUGUAUAUAAAUAUUCCGAAGUAUCAAAUCAUCAUGAUUCAUAAAUAAAAAUAUAAAAACUAACAUUGAAUGACAUAAAUAAAAAUAUAAGAUAAUGAUGGGUGCAUAAUAGACUCAAAUUUCUAAUUUGUUGUUUGAAAAUUUUAACAGUAAAGUAUAUAUACUAAGCAAGGCGAAACUAAUAUUCGCACAAAAUCAUUGCCUCGAGGAUCCUGAACGGGAGUUAAAGAUCCAGUUGUUUUGGGGGGAAAAUUAUUUACAUUUUUUAGUUACCAAUAUGAUCUUAUACUUUAAUUUCACUUACAUUUUAUGGUAAGAAAAAAGGAGUGUCAUGAAAGUAAUAAAACAAAAAAAUAAUAUAUAAUUAAUUAAAUGGAUGUGCAAGCAGACUAAGUGAAUGUAGCUUUUGCUUGAAUAGCACAAUUUGUUUUCACCAAAAUAUCAUUUCAAAUGCACGUUUAACGUAACUAACGCCAUACCAAACAUAUGCUCUUCAAGGAAUUUGAAUUUGAAACUUUUAUCAUCUGAAAUCAUAGAUUUAGUAUAUAAAAAGAAUUCUAAUUCUAAUUUUUAUUCAUCUAAAUUAGUAGUUGAAACUAGAACUUGAAUCAAAAUUCUCAAAUACUAAAAAAUCCAUACAAAUAUCUAAACUUAACUAAAAUCGAUAUUGUUCGUUGAUGUGGAGCAUAACACAAGUAUCAUUUCUUAUCGAUCUAUCGAUCUAAAUCAUUCUUUGAUCGGUAAAACUUGUAACUCGAGAUUAUUUUGUAUAAAUUUAUCAAAACCCAUUUGUGUUCUUAUUAUUUGAUUUCAUGAAUUUCAUUAAAAACCAAACAUUGGAAUUAUAUGUUGUGCACUUUAAUUUUUGUUAAGUGGAGUUCGACAUUUGAUAUACAAUAAUUUAAAAUUAGUGAGUCUAGAUAAAUAAGAAGUUCAAUAUGUUGUCUAGAAGCUAUGGGUUUUUUCCUUUUCUAUAUUAUAAAUUAAAACACAUGAAUUUCAUCGGAAAUUAAUUAUUCUAAUUUUGAAGACAAAAAUUUAUUAUCGUCAUUUUAUUUAAUUACGGUAAAAUUUUACCCGCGUAAAUAUUUUAUAAAUUGAUUAAUUGAUAUUGUUAUUCUAUUAUUAUUAUUAUUAUUAUUAUUAUUAUUAUUAUUAUUAUUUGUAACACCCAUAUUCUUUUCCUAAUUGUGCUUAGUGUCUAAUUGGUUAAUUGAUGAAGAAUUAGUUGUCCUAACCUAACUCUAAGCACUUGAUUAGAGGUGAGUGUCGAUCAUUAGUAAUAAGGGGCCAUGUGCAAGGGCAAAUCAAUAUGUUCUAAUGGUAUUAUAAAACUUAAACUAAAGAGAAACCUCAUUUCUCUACAUAUUUUCUCUUGGUUAGUAACUUGAAUAUCAAAUGUGACAUGAGAGGAAGAAUAAGCCAAUGACACUUAAUGGAUGUCGAGUUGCAAGUUAGAGCUAACCAUCCAGGCUUCACCCAACCAAGUGAUGAAGUCCUUUUGUUAAAUCAGAGAUUAUAUGUGCCAAUUGAUUCAGAGUUGAGAAAUGUGAUAUUGGAAGAAGCUCACAAUUUCCCUGUCAUACCCCAAUUUUGUCCUUCCUUCAAUAAGUCGACAUCUUUAUCAUGACAUUCGCAUCAUCUAUAUACCGAUUGAAUUGAUUCUCAAAUGAACGUGAAAUUAGCGAGCAUAAAUUUUAAAAUCGAGCUUGUAGAUGUCAAUUUUAUUAAUCUAUAAUUCGUGUAGUUUAACAUGGCGUGUUCGUUUUAUUUUUUCGAUUACUUUUUCAAUCACAUUUUGAUUAGUCUAAGCCUUUUAACCAAUAUUUUUUUAUUUUAAAAUUUGAUCAAAAUCUGUAUGUUUAUGAGAAGUUUAUUUCACACUGAUCAUUUUUGUGCAUUUAGUUUAAUUUUUCGAGCAUUUUUGCGCUCAACUUUUAUUCAAUUUAAGUCAUUUAUUAUUUUUUUGUCAAAAUGUUUGAAAUAAGUAAAUUGAAUUUUCAAUGUUUUUGUUUCGAGUUGAUUUUGAUUAUUUAGAUUAAUGUAAUUUAAUUUGAUUUAAUUUAUUUGCAACUAUUUUUACAUAAUUUUCACUCAAUAAGAGCAUGUUGGAUAUUUAAUAAAAAUAGAAAACCCUAGCAUAUAUAAGUUAAUAAGUGCUGAAAAAAGAGGACCUCAAUUUUGCAAUCCACGUCACCUCUUUUUUGGGACAAACAGAAAUUGAAUAAAUUAAAGAAUUGAACCAAUAACAGCUACAGUGCACCGUUCACUUUCCAAAAUCUCCCUCUCAUUUGACAUACCAUCUCUUAACCCCUAACAUAUACUUGCUAUUGUAAAAAAAAAAGGCUUAAAUGCACUUUUGAUCCCCUUAGUUUGAGCGUUUUAAACAAUUGUUCCCCCUAUUACAAAACCAGUGAUUCUGGUCCCUUAAUUUUGAUGGUCUUUGGAUUUUUAUGGUCCCCCUCCACUUUUACAUACAUGAAAUUGAUGAUUCAGAUAAAAAAUAGUUUUGAAUGAUAUAUCAUUGAUGACUAGGAUAAUUUAUUAAUUAAUAUUUUUUAUAGAAUAAAUUAAUAAUUAAUUAUUUCAAUUAAUAUUUUUAGAAAUUAAUUAAUUAAAAUUUUGAAAAGAAUUAUUGGGCCUAAGCCCAAUUCAUGACAAAAUCCUUUUCAAACUCGUGCCCAAGAAGACAUUGAAUAAUACAUUGUUGACUUUUAUAAACACUAAAAUUGUUUAUGAAAAAAACAAUGUGGGACAUAAUUCCCCUUUUUCCUUAUGACUUCUACUCAGAUCUCUAUCAUAAACUGAAUAUGCACUGAUGCUUUUCAAGAUAUAACCACCCAAAUAAACAUAAUCUAGUAGCCAUCAUAUUUGAUUAGGUUUUGAUGUCUAAAGAUCAUAAGGAGUUCAAUUUCGUUGUGCAUGAUAUUUAACCGCUUUUACUUGUUCCGUCCAAAUUCAAACUUCUUUACAACACAAAUUUUUUGAUGAAUCAUAGUUUCUACAUAAUACCAUGUGUUCCUCUACCAAUAAUUUACUGAUCACUUAGAUUCUUCGUAGCUUGCAACACUCGUUUCUUAAGGGAGAAUGACUUACCUGAGAUGUUGAAUUUCCUGAACAUAUUCAAGUCCAAUCCAUUUAGCUCCUCCAUUAAUAUAAUACCAUUGAUUUAGAUCAGACUCCAUAUCUGAUUCCUUUCCAAGAAGACACCUUUGAACUAUUAUUACCAGUAUAACAGAAAUCAAUAUUGAGGAUCUAAUUGAUAUCAUCACAAUUUGAACAUUACUAAUACUGAUACAUUUAUGUUCAGUUGAGUGGUGUGAUUUGGAGACACAUGGAUUUAGAUUUAGGGGAGAACAAAGGUAUGAAAUAAUAAGGAAAUAAAAUAAAUAAAAAUAUCAAAACAAAUAAAUAAGAUAAAAAUAAAACAAAUAAACAAACAAAACAAACAACCCUAGAACUAAAUGGUAGGCUUAACUUUCUUUAGGGAUAUUCCCAACCAGAGUCGCCAGCUGUCGCAUAUCAAAAAAUAUGAUCUCGCGAAGCACAUCAAAUACUCGUGUAAGGACUAACAGAGUCGACACUGUUCUCUAUUUAUUCUUAAGAAAAGAGAAAAUGACGAUAAAAAUGUAAGGGAAAGAAAAUGAUAAGAUGAUCAUCGUAACCAAAUUAGGGUUCGGGAAUCGGUUAUGCAGGGGGAAGGUAUUAACAGCCCUCACAUUCGUUGUACUCAACGGGAACCUCCUAAAGUUAUAAGGUUUAGUAUUUGUUAAGGGUCUAUUUAUCUUAUUUUAUUUUUAUUCGAGUGUUUACAAAAAGAAAUUACUUACAAUGGAAAAAAUUUUAUUUAAUUAUUAUGCUCGCCAAGGUUUCAAAACUUCGUGCCUACGUAUUCUCAUUGUGUAAUGAGAAAAUAAGAGCAUCAUAGUUUAAAAAAAAGUUUGUGUGUUGGUUGCUUUUACAUAAUACAAUUUAAGUCAUUCUUACGUUCAAACGUCGACUUGUAUGGUCGCACGAUGGAGGCUUAAGCGCUUUUUUUUGUUUUGCGUUGAAAAUAACUUGAACUAUCCUUUUAUGAAAAAUAUUUUUGGAAUGGUGUACAAGGGCACAUAAAAGGUUUGAUGAGUGGUGUUUGAUUUUAAGUGUUUUGGUUCUAAGUAAUCGAUCGAUGUAGAGAGCGCUAACUAAUCAAUUACUCAGGGACAUGGUGUAUAUGUAUCCACCAACCAUGGGAAAUAUUAUUCAUCAUUCUUCAUCAUUAACCAACUAAUAUAAAAUUAAAAUUAAAAUGAAAAACUUUUGUUUUAAAUUAAAUAAAAAAGGAUCGUUUUUGUAACUAGCAAACAAUUAAUUAAAUUAAUUAACACCUAAGCACAAUUUUAAGAAAACACUAAAUGACUAACUUAAAAAUAAAAAUAAAUAAUAAAAAUAAUAAUAAAUAAGAAAAUAAAAUAGAAUUAGGAGGCGGGCAAAUUUAGUGGGGAUAUUGGACUUUAAGCAACACUAGAGGGUGUGAGAAUCAAUGGGUGCAAUCCUAGACAGAAAGAAGAAAAUAGAUAAAAAUGGAAAAUAAAAUAAAUAAAUACUAAAAAAACCUGGACAACGUAGGCCAAUGGAUCUGAUUACAAGGACGUGAUUGAAGGUUUUUGAUAACAAGGGUGGUUGGAAGUGCAUGGGAAGGUCAAUGGUCAACUAAUUUGAGUGGCCAGGAGAAGCCACGUGUUGUUCAUCUGCAACAAGGUGAUGAGAGUAUAUAAAUGAAACUCUCUUCACAAACUCUCAUUUCCUUAUCUUUUUUUCUCUAUAUAAUCCCCUUUCCCUCUUCUUUCUACGCCCUUUUCCCUCUCUCUAAGACCACCACCCCAAGGCUCUUCCCCCUCUCUUAAAAACCUCCAGCUAGAAAUCGCCUCCGCUGGUGCUUCCACCCUAACAACCUUUACUCGACCAUUCCUUUCAACCGAUGUUCAUCAAGAUGAUGUACACUAACCCAAAUCUUCAACCAAACAUGAGCCUUAGGCUUUAGAAACCCAAAACCCCAAGAACCCAAAACCUAAAACAUGAACCCUAACCCUAACCUUCAAUCUAAACCCAGAUUCCUAUGAACCCUAAGAAUAUUAACAUGAACCAUAAAGCUAAGUCCAGGAAACCUAACUACCCAAAACCUUCAUCUUCUUCUUCAACCUUACCCCUCUAAACCUAAAUCAACCCAGAACCAUACCUAACCCAUUCCAAAUCUACCCUCCCUUUUCCAAACCUUAGAUCAGAGCUUCUUAAAUCUUAAUCUACCCUCAAAACAACAACAUCAAGCCAAAAAAUCUCAAACCCUAAAACCCUAAAAUCACCUUCUGUUUUAACCCAAACCAAACCUUUCCUAUACCUAAAUCAUACUAGAGAAACAUGUAAACAUAAAACAAUCUACAUAACUACAAUAAAAACCACAACUUUUAUGAAACUCAAGGAUAAUACUUUCCCCAGUGAAAAGGUAAUAUCUUUCCUUUGAUUUUUCUUUAUUUUUAAUGCUCCUCUCUUCGACUUUCAAUUCUUCCUUCUGGAUGUCUUUCUUUUUCCUUUUGAUGCAAGGUCUGGCUUAUGGAAUCCUGAUGGAGCGGUUGGAGCAAAAGUUUAGGGAAUUAGUUGUAGUUGUUCUUUAGGGUGAAGAACAACAACUUAGGGUUAGAAUUUGUGAAUGAAGAAUUGUAAAAAAAGCUUUGUUAUUUAUAGUGAAAAUUAGGUUUAGGUUUUCAUGUCUGAUUGAUUAGAUUAGUAAGUUUUGGAAGUAAUUUUUAGUCUUCACAUAUUGAAACGUAAUAGAAGUUCCACAUCAAUGAAAAGAUUAUAUUUUUACUUUUUGAUUUGAUUUGAGCCUUUUUGAUUCCAUUGUUCAUGCUACUUUAGGUUUUUUAUGAUUUUAGACUUUUGGGCUUUUGUUUAACUUUGUUGACUCAUUAUAAUAACAAAAAUAAUAUUAGAGAAAAAAUGAUAGAAACGUUGUUGAGAAAAUAAUAAGUCUAAAAAGAGAAAAAUAAAAAGGCACUCUACUUAAUAUUAAAAAAUGAUAAUUAAAAAUACUAAUAAUAAUGUUAUUAAUUAUAAAUAAUAAUAAUAAUAAUAAUAAUAAUAGUAAUAAUAAUAUCCAAAUAAUACUAAAUAAACAAUAAUCCUAUACUAAUAAAUAAUAAUACUAAUAGAUAAUAAUUUAAUGAUAAUACUUAAUAAUAAUCUAAAUAAUAAAUAAUAAUUAAUAAUAAAAUUACUAAUUUUGCUAAAUAAUCACAAUGACCAAAAAUAGUAAUAUUAGCAACAAAAAAUAAAAAACUCUUUAUGUGCUAGUGAACUUAAAAAAGAGGAUAAAAGUCAAAAUGAUCCUCCUUUGACUUUUAGGUCAUUCGAUUUGAUCAUAUGACUUACUCAUGAAUGACUUAGAGGGAACAUGGCCUCAGAUGAUAGCUUAGGUGAAUUGAGAGUGAUACAAGGCACUUAUGCACUGGACCUACCAUAAUGGAAACUAUGGUUUUAAAAGACUAAGAUGGAUAAAGUAAAUCGGGUCAAAAUUUUGGGUAUGACAAUGACCAACACCUUUCAAAUGUCAAGUCACACCAUGAAAACAAGUUUUAGGUAGCAAAUCUGAAACAUGUAUUAAGAACAAAGUUCCAUCAAUAUUAAAUCUUGAAUAAACUUACAUAGAACUCCGUGAACUAUUCAGUACUGGAAUAUAAUGACUACAUCUAGAUCCAACAAAGAUAUUUUUAGCUACGCUUACUCAUCAUAGUUGUUUUGAUAAUCCCGCAAAGAUAAUCUUUGAAGUUUAUCUGCCAUAUCACCUGAGCAGCAUUCCCGACUUAAACCUCCCACUCUUAUACUCAUGUUAGACACCAAUGUGAACCUACUCCAAUUCUAUACUACCUCAAUCCACCAAAACUCCCCUAAAAUUUUAUUGGGAACCCCUAUUUAUUAUUGAUGAAACAAGAGUUUCGUUGGGCGCGUUGUCCUCUUGACCAGCGAGCCUGCUUUUAUUUUAGGGUAAGAAACUCCCAGUUAGGGCUACAGUUGGCCAUAUUCCCCCUUUGGCACUGGGAGCACCGCUCUCUCGAUCAACGAAGCGACCCUUCCUUCACCAUGAAGUAACUUAGCCUUAAAGUCUUAUAACUUCCUGAUUUUGCUGGGCGUGACCAUAGUCACGACUCAACGAGCCCGUCUUGGCUGAAACUUUGUUUUGGCUAUACCUUUGUGCCAUGCUUUAUGAUUUCUAAUUUCUUUUUACAUGUUUUUUAUUAAUACAUACUAGAAAAGUCCAAAAAGUUGUUCUAAUGCUUUUUAUAGGUAAAUUAGUUUUUUUUGUCAUGAUUGCAUGUAAAAUAAGUUAAAAAGUUCUUACGUAUUUAACGUAUUUCUGAACCUUAUAAGUGAUUAACAUCAUCUAUUCUUAAAGAAUUACUCGAAUUCUCAUAAUUCAAAUUUCAUCUUUAUUGCAGAACUGGUGAUUCUAAUUGACGAAAUACCUUUAUGAGGGAUAAGUUAGGUCUUCCCUAUUACCGUUUUUUCGUAGAUUACUUUUUACUAUUCAUUUUCUUCGGGGUUUUGGUACAAUGGCCUCAUGUACAUAAUGUUCAUUUUAUUUUUAUUUUAUUUGAGCUAUGGACAAAAGACAAGGGUAGCUAGUAGUACCAACAUAAUCGAGACAUUUAGCUAUUCCCUUGAUGUCAGAAUGCUCUUAAUUCAACAAAAAAAUGAAGAUAAUGAGUGAGAUGCAUCUAUCUAUAAAAAAUAAAAAAUAAAUAAAUAUUUAAAUAUAUAUUUAGUCUCUACAAAUAUAUAUUUUCUUUUAUUUAGUUUUAGAUCAUUGUUAUUUUGUUCUACAUCUUUUGUAGGUAGCAUAUUUAAUUUUAGUUCUAUAAUUUUAUUAUCAUAAAGACUUAAAUAAAUAUUACCACAUUUCAGAGAUUAAUAUAAAUAAAUUUUGCAAGAUCAAAAACCAAAAUGACAUAUAAUUUAAGUGAUUAAAACUAAACAAAAAGUAUAGGACUAACAAAAAUAUUGAUAAAUAUCAUAUACUUAUUUAAAUUAAACAAAAAAUAUUUUUAUAACAUUUCUUAAAAUAAACACAUUAAUAUAUUCUUCUUUUUAAAAUGUAUACAAAAUGACAAAUAAAAACAUCUAAUAUAAUAAUAUUAGCAUUAUCAAUUGACUAGUCCUCACAUAAUGUUUCUUUUAAAAAAAGAGAGAAUGAAAAAUAAAAAUUAACCAAGGUUGUAACUAAUUUUUCUUAGCCAAACAAUAAGAUAGAAUUAAAAAAAACAUUGCCACCGCCCUACUCAACUUUGUAAUCUCAUUUUAUUUUUCUUCCCAAGCAAGUUACAAUUUUCAUGGAUUCUUAAACUUUCAUUUUGUCAUCAACCUUAACUUAGAUGCCUUUUUACAUGUCCUUUUUCAUAUCUUCUUCAACAAAAUUGGAUGAAUCUUAAAUUUAAUAUGGUGACAAAAAAUAGUGUUAAAGAUAAGGCCCCAUAUUAUUAAUAGCAUUUAAUUUGAUGAUACUUUUGAGGCUCUCUAAAUAAGAGUGUCGUAAGAACAUUUUCUUCCAUCCUUUUUUCAAGUAUCAUUUUGUUUUCUAAUUAUUUAUUUAGAAUGAUUAAUUUCAAAUCUUUUAAUUUUCUCAUACUUCUGGCUGGUGUGAUUCUCAUCUCUGCAGUGGUGGUCGAUGAACCAAAUCCUAAUCCACCAAGUAUGAACCUUGAAAUCAACAUCAAUUUAUUUGUUUAUCAACUUUGUUUAAGAAUUGGGUGAAUUAAAUUUGUGCAUGAAACUGAUAAAAGAUUUUAGGAAAAACAUCCAUAUGAUGAAUUUUUAUAACCACUCUUCGUAUGAAUGCAUUUGGUGUAUGAUUAAAUUUUGUUGUUACAGUAACUUAAUUAUGUAUGUUGUUGAUGAAGGUCCAAAGAUAAGCGUCUAUGAAGAGCUUAAGGGGUGUUACAAGCAUGAAAAAGGUAAAAAAUUUAUUUGUUUUAUUUUAAUGGGAUUGAUAAGUAAUGUAAAUCUUGGUUAAUUAAGUCAAUUUUGUAAAAUUUUGCAACUUUAGGUGGAAGAAAAAUGAUUUUGUAGCCACUUCAUGAUGGAAACUGCAAGGAACAAGGAGGCGAAAAGUAUGGUGAUAGCGAAUUUGGUGGUAUUGGUGGCAGGGUCAAUCAAGGAGGAGGUAGUAGAGGUUGCAUAUGGAGAGGUAGGAAAAAUGGAGGUGGAAGUGGUAGUGAUGGAGAAGAUUAUAGUGGUGGAGGAAGUGGAAGUCGAAAAGGAAGAGAAUGUAGGGAUAAAGGCAGUAGAAUUGGAGGAGAUUAUAAUGGUGGAGCAAGUGGUGCUGGUAAAGGCAACGAAAGUGGAGGAGAUUAUGGUGGUGGUAAAGGCGGUGGUAGUAGAGGAGAUUACAGUGGUGGAAGUGAAGGUGGAAGUGGUAGAAAAGGAGAUUAUGGUGGUGGAGCUAGUGGUGAAAGUGGAGAAGGUGGUGGUAAAUGGGGAGAUUAUGGAGGUGGAGCAGAUGGUGGUAAAGGAACUGGUAGCAGAGGAGAUUAUGGUGGUGGAAUUGGUAGAGGUAACAUAGGAGAUUAUGGUGGUGGAGGUAGUGGCCAUGGAUCCGAUGGUGGAAGUAGACGUGACGACAAUGAAAGUGGAGAAGGUGGUGGAAGCAAAUGAGAAGAAGGAGGUUAUUAAUGCAAUGGUACAUGAGACUUCUAUGAUUUAUGGCAAAUAUAAAAAUAGAAUAUAUACUCUAUUCAAAUUUCUUUUAUCCUUAAACAUAUGUCAUGAUUACAGUAUUGUCUCUCUUUAUGUGUAGUUCAUGAAUUAUGAAUAAAAAAUAUUGAGAUAUUGAUAGUAUUAAUAAUAAAAAUAAAAUAAUAAUCCCCAUCAUGGAAAGUUUCCAUAAUACAUUAUAUGUUUUGUUCAUAAAUACCUAUUGAUAAAUACAAAUAAUACUUAAAUACUCUAAUUAAAAAGUGUUCAAAUAAUAUAUUAAUAGUAUUAGUAUCUUUACAAUUCACUCAAUAUUAUUUUUAAAAAAUCAAUCAAUUCUAAUGGGUCAUGAAAUCCCUACAAAAAAAAUUAUUAGAUUAUAUAUUCCCUUCACCCUUCUUAAUUAAGUAAUGUAUAUAAAUAUUCUGAAGUAUCAAAUCAUCAUGAUUCAUAAAUAAAAAUAUAAAAACUAAUAUUGAAUGACAUAAAAAAAAAAUUAUUAGAUUAUAUAUUCCCUUCACCCUUCUUAAUUAAGUAAUGUAUAUAAAUAUUCUGAAGUAUCAAAUCAUCAUGAUUCAUAAAUAAAAAUAUAAAAACUAAUAUUGAAUGACAUAAAGAAAAAUAUAAGGUAAUGAUAGGUGCAUAAUGCACUCAAGUUUCUAAUUUGUUGCAUGAAAAUUUUAAUAGUAAAGUAUAUAUACUAAGCAAGGCGUAACUAAUAUUCCCACAAAAUCAAUGCCUCGAGGAUCCUGAGCGGGAGUUAAAGAUCAAUUGUUUUGGGGGGGAAAUUAUUUAUAUUUUUUAGUAACCAAUAUGAUGUUAUACUUUAAUUUCACUUACAUUUUAUGGUAAGACUAAGUGAAUGUAACUUUUUCUUGAAUAGCACAAUUUGUUUUCACCAAAAUAUCAUUUCAGAUGCAUGUUUAACAUAACUAACGUGUUUUAACCAAAGUAUUACUUUAGAUGCACGUUUAACGUAACUAACGCCAUACCAAACAUAUGCUCUUCAAGGAAUUUGAAUUUGAAACGUUUAUCUUCUGAAAAUGGAUAUUUAGUCUAUAAAAUGAAUUCUAAUUCUAAUUUUUGUUCAUCUAAAUUAGUAGUUGAAACUAGAACUUGAAUCAAAAUUCUCAAAUACUAAAAAAUCCAUACAAAUAUCUAAACUUAACUAAAAUCGAUAUUGUUCGUUGAUGUGGAGCAUAACACAAGUAUUAUAUCUUAUUGAUCUAUCGAUCUAAAUCAUUCUUUGAUCGGUAAAACUUGUAACUCAAGAUUAUUUUGUAUAAAUUUAUCAAAACCCAUUUGUGUUCUUAUUCUUUGAUUUCAUGAAUUUCGUUAAAAACCAAACAUUGGAAUUAUAUAUUGUGCAUUUUAAUUUUUGUUAAGUGGAGUUAGGCAUUUGAUAUACAAUAAUUUAAAAUUAGUGAGACUAGAUAAAUAAGAAGUUCGAUAUGUCGUCUAGAAGCUAUGGAUUUUUUCCUUUUCUAUAUUAUAAAUGAAAACACAUGAACUUCAUCGGAAAUUAAUUAUUCUAAUUUUGAAGACAAAAAUUUAUUAUCGUCAUUUUAUUUAAUUACCGUAAAAAUAUACCCGCAUAAAUAUUUUAUAAAUUGGUUAAAUGAUCUUAUUAUUAUUAUUAUUGUUAUUAUUAUUAUUAUUAUUAUUAUUAUUAUUAUUAUUAUUUGUAACACCCAUAUUCCUUUCCUAAUUGUGCUUAUUGUCUAACUGGUUAGUUGAUGAAGAAUUAGUUAUCCUAACGUAACUCUAAGCACUUGAUUAGAGGUGAGUGUCAAUCAUUAGUAAUAAGGGUCCAUGUGCAAGGGCAAAUCAAUAUGUUCUAAUGGUACUAUAAAACUUAAACUAAAGAGAAACCUAAUUUCUCUACAUAUUUUCUCUUGGUUAGUAACUUGAAUAUCAAAUGUGACAUGAUAGGGAGAAUAAUCCAAUGACAAUUAAUGGAUGUCGAGUUGCAAGUUAGAGCUAACCAUCCAGGCUUCACCCAACCCAUGGAUGGAGUCAUUUUGUUAAAUCAGUGGUUAUAUGUGCUGAUUGAUUCUGAGUUGAGAAGGGUGAUAUUGGAAGAAUCUCACAAUUCACCUGUGAUACCCCAAUUUUGCCCGUCCUUCAAUAAAUCGACACCUUUAUCAUGACAUUCACAUCAUCUAUAUAGCAUAACAUGCAUUUCAUUCCACAUAAUGCCUAAAAUAUCAACUAGAAUAAACUUUCGAAUUUACAAGCAGACCGAUCAAUCUGAUUCUCAAAUGAACAUGAAAUAAGCGGGCGGAGAUUUUAAAAUCGAGCUUGCAAAUGUCAGUUUUACUAAUCUACAAUUCGUGUAGUUUAACAUGGCAUGUUCGUUUCAUUUUUUCAACUACUUUUUCAGUCGCAUUUUGACCAGUCUGAGCCUUUUAACCAAUCAUUUUUAAUUUUAAAAUUUGACCAAAAUCUGUAUGUUUUAGAGAAAUUUAUUUCACGCUCAUCAUUUUGGUGCAUUUAGUUAAAUUUUUCGAUCAUUUUUGCACCCAACUUUUUUUCAAUUUGAGUUCGUUUAUCAUUUUUUUGUCAAAAUGUUUGAAAUAUGUAAAUAGAAUUUCCAAUGUUUUUGUUUCGAGUUAAUUUUGAUUAUUUAGAUUGAUGUAAUUUUUUUUAUUUAAUUUAUUUGUAAAUAUUUUUACAUAAUUUUCACUCAAUAAGGGCAUUUUCGAUAAUUAAUAGAAAUAGAAAACCCUAGCAUAUAUAAGUUAAUAAGUGCUGAAAGAAGAGGACCUCAAUUUUACAAUCCAUGUCGCCUCUUUUUUGGGUAAAACAUAAAUUGAAAAGAAUAAAGAAUUGAACCAAUAGCAGCUACAGUGUGACAUUCACUUUCCAAAAUCUCCCUCUCAUUUGAGCAUUUUAAACAAUUGUUCCCCGUACUACAAAACUAGUGAUUCUGGUCCCUUAAUUUUGAUGGUCUUUGGAUUUUUGUGUUCCCUCUCCACUAUUACAUACGUGACAUUGAUUAUUCGGAUAAAAAUAUAAUUUUGAAUGAUAUAUCAUUGAUGACUAGGAUAAUUUAUUAAUUAAUAUUUUUUAUAGAAUAAAUUAAUAAUUAAUUAUUUUAAUUAAUAUUUUUAGAAAUUAAUUAAUUAAAAUUUUGAAAAGAAUUACUGGGCCUAAGCCCAAUUCAAAACAACAUCCUUUUCAAACUUGCCCAAGAAGACAUUGAGUAAUGCAUUGUUGACUUUUAUAAACUCUAAAAUUGUUUAUGAUAAAAACAAUGUGGGACAUAAUUCGCCUUUUUCCUUAUGACUUCUACUCAUAUCUCUAUCAUAAACUGAAUGUGCAUUGAUGCUUUUCAAGAGAUAACCACCAAAAUAAACACAAUUCGGUAGCCAUUAGAUUAGAUUAGUUUUCGAUGUCUAAAGAUCUCAAGGAGUUCAAUUUCGGUAGCCCUUGUUCCGUAUAAAUUCAAACUUCUUAACAACACAAUUUUUUUGACGAAUCAUAACUUUGUACAUAAUACCAUGUGUUCCUCUACCAAUAAUGUACUGAUCACUUAGAUUCUCUGUAGCUUGCAACACUUGUUUCUUAAGGGAGAAUGACUUGCCUGAGAUGUUGAAUUCCUGAACAUAUUCAAGUCCAAUCCAUCAAGCUCCUCCAUCAAUAUAAUACCAUUGAUUUAGAUCAGACUCCAUAUCUGAUUCCUUUCCAAGAAGACACCUUUGAACUAUAAUUACAAGGACAACAUAAUUAAAUAUUGAAGAUCCAAUAGAUAUCAUCACAAUUUGAACAUUACUAAUACUGAUACCUUUAUGAUCAGUUGAGUAGUGUGAUUUGGAGACACAUGGAUUUAGAUUUAGGGGAGAACAAAGGUAUGAAAUAAUAAAUAAAUAAAAUAAAUAAAUAAAGCAAAACAAAUAAAUAAGAUAAAAAGAAAACAAAUAAACAAACAAAACAAACAACCCUAGAACUAAAUGGUAGGCUUAACUCUCUUUAGGGAUAUUCCCCAGCAGAGUCGCCAGUUGUCGCAUAUCAAAAAAUAUGAUCUCGUGAAGCCCAUCGGACACUCGCGGAUGGACUGGCAGAGCCGGCACUGUUCUUUAUUUAUUCCUAAGAAAAGGGAAAAUGACAAUAAAACUGUAACGGAAAGAAAAUGAUAAGAUGUUCAUCACAACCAAAUUAGGGUUCGGGAGUCGGUUUUGCAAUCGGAAGGUAUUAACACCCCUCACAUCCAUUGUACUCAACGGGAACCUCCAAAACUUAUAAGGUUGAUUAUUUGUUAAGGGUCUAUUUAUUUUAUUUUAUUUUUAUUCGAGUGUUUACAAAAAUAAAUUAUUUAAAAUGGAAAAUGUUUUUUUUAAUUAUUAUGCUCGCCAGGGUUUCAAAACUUCGUGUCUACGUAUUCUCAUUGUGCAAUGAGAAAAUUAUAGCAUCGUAGUUCAAAAAAAGUUUAUGUGUUGGUUGCUUUUAUAUAAUAUAAUUUAAGUCAUUCUUGCGUUUAAACCCCGACUUGUAUGCUCGCACGAUGGAGGCUUAAGCGCUUGUUUUUGUUUCGCGUUGAAAAUAACUUGAACUAUCCUUUUAUGAAAAAUAUUUUUGCAAUGGUGUACAAGGGCACAUAAAAGGUUUGUUGAGUGAUGUUUGAUUUUAAGUGUUUUGGUUCUAAGUAAUCGAUCGAUGCAGAGAGCGCUAACCAAUCAAUUACUCAAGGACAUGGUGGAUGUGAUUCCACCUUCGAUUUGCAAAAAAUAUUGAUUUAAUUUAACUUAUAAAAGUAGUUGGAUGAUAUGUACAAAUAUGAAUUAUUAACAAGUUGAGAAAAAAAAUCUUAUCUUCUAUUUACUUUAUUAAUUCGAAUAUAAAGGAAUAUUUUAUAUAUUUUUUUAAAAUAGAAUUUGAAUAAGAAGAAGAAUUAUGAUUGGUUGUUUGAACUUAUAAAAUAAAGGGAAAUAUUAUUCAUCAUUCUUCAUCAUUAACCAACUAAUAUAAAAUUUAAAUUUAAAUGAAAAAACUUUUGUUUUAAAUUAAAUAAAAAAGGAUAGUUUUUGUAACUAGCUAACAAUUAAUUAACACCAAAGCACAAUUAAAAAAAAACUCUAAAUGACUAACUUAAAAAUACAAAUAAAUAAUAAAAAGAAUAAGAAAUAAGAAAAUAAAAUAGAAUUAGGAGGAGGUGCAAAUUUAGUGGGGAUAUUGGACUUUAAGCAACACUGAAGGGUGUGAGAAUCAAUGGGUGCUAGGCCCAACUUUUAGUAUCCCAAAGACAAAGAAGAAAAUAGAAAAAAAUGGAAAAUAAAUAAAAUAAAUAAUAAAAAAAACUGGGCAACCAUAGGCUGUUGGAUCUGAUUACAAGGACGUGAUUGGAGGUUUUUUAUAACAAGGGUGGUUGGCAGUGCAUGGGACUGGUCAAUGGUCAUCUGAUCUGAGUGGCCAGGAGAAGCCACAUGUUGUUCAUCUACAACAUGGUGAUGAGAGUAUAUAAAUGAAACUCUCUUCAGAAACUCUCAUUUCCUUAUCUUUUUUCUCUUUCUAAUCCCCCUUCCAUUUUCUUUCUACGCCCUUUUCCCUCUCUCUAAGACCACCACCCUAAGGCUCUCCCCUCUCUCUAAAUAACUCCAGCUAGAAAUCGCCUCCUCCAAUGCUUCCACCCUAACAACCUUUAUUGGACCAUCCCUUUCAACCGGUGUUCAUCAAGAUGAUGAACACUAACCCAAAUCUUCAACCAAACACGAACCUUAUGCUUUAGAAACCCAAAACCCUAAGAACCCUAAACCUAAAACAUGAAUCUUAACGAACCCUAACCCUAACCUUCAAUCUAAACCCAUAUUCCUAUGAACCAUAAGAAUAUUAACAUGAACCAUAAAGCUAAAUCCAAGAACCCUAACCUUCAUAUUCUUCUUCAACUUUCAACCUCUAAACGUAAAUCAACCCAGAAUCAUACCUAACCCAUUCCAAAUCUACCCUACCAUUUUCCAAACAUUAGAUCAGAGCUUCUUAAAUCUUAAUCCACCCUCAAAACAACAACAUCAAGCCAAAAAAUCUCAAACCCCAAAAUCACCUUCUAUUUGAACCCAUACCGAACCUUUCCCAUACCUAAAUCAUACUAGAGAAACAUGUAAACAUAAAAUAAUCCAUAGAACUACAAUAAAAACCAUAACUUUUAUGAAACUCAACGAAUCAUGCGAAGAGGUUCAACAAGCAAUCCUACCUACAAGGAUAAGACUUUCCCAAGUGAAAAGGUAAUAUAUUUCCUUUGAUAUUUCUUUCUUUUUACUGCUCAUCUCUUCGACUUUCGAUUCUUCCUUCUGGAUGUCUUUCUUUUUUCCUUUUGAUGCAAGGCCUUGUUAUGGAAUCCUGAUGGAGCAGUUGGAGCAAAAGUUUAGGGCAUUAGUUGUUGUUGUUCCUUAGGGUGAAGAACAACAACUUAAGGUUAGAAUUUGUGAAUGAAGAAUUGUAAAAACGCUUUGUUAUUUAUAGUGAAAGUUAGGCUUAGGUUUUCAUGUCAUAUUGAUUAGAUUAGGAGGUUUUGGAUGUAGUUUGUUAGUCUUCACAUAUACUGAUCACUUAGAUUCUCCGUAGCUUGCAACACUCGUUUCUUAAGGGAGAAUAACUUACUUGAGAUGUUGAAUUCCUGGACAUAUUCAAAUCUGAUCCAUCCAGCUCCUCCAUCAAUAUAAUACCAUUGAUUUAGAUCAGACUCCAUAUCUGAUUCCUUUCCAAGAAGACACAUUUGAAUUAUAAUUACCAGUACAACAGAAUUAAAUAUUGAGGAUCCAAUUGAUAUCAUCACAAUUUGAACAUUACUAAUACCGAUACCUUUAUGAUUACUUGAGUAGUGUAAUUUGGAGACACAUGGAUUUAGAUUUAGGGGAGAACAAAGGUAUGAAAUAUUAAAGAAAUAAAACAAAUAAAAAAAUAAAGCAAAACAAAUAAAUAAACAAAACAAACAACCCUAGAACUAAAUUGUAGGUUUAACUCUCUUUAAGCGCAUCGAACACUCGCAGAUGGACUGGCAGAGUCGACAAUGUUCUCUAUUUAUUCCUAAGAAAAGGAAAAAUGACAACAAAACUGUAAGGGAAAGAAAAGGAUAAGAUGUUCAUCGCAACCAAAUUAGGGUUCGGGAGUCGGUUAUGCAAGGGGAAGGUAUUAACACCCCUCACAUCCGUUGUACUCAACGGGAACCUCCUUAUGUUUUAAGGUUGAUUAUUUGUUUAGGGUCUAUUUAUUUUAUAUUAUUUUCAUUCGAGUGUUUACAAAAAUAAAUUAUUUACAAUGGAAAAAGAUUUUUUAAUUAUUAUGCUCGCCAAGGUUUCAAAACUUCGUGUCUACGUAUUCUCAUUGUGCAAUGAGAUAAUCCGAGCAUCGUAGUUCAAAAAAAAGUUUGUGUGUUGGUUGCUUUUAUAUAAUAUAAUUUAAGUCAUUCUUGCGUUCAAACCUCGACUUGUAUGCUCGCAAGAUAGAGGCUUAAGCGCUUGUUUUUGUUUUUUACGUUGAAAAUAACUUAAACUAUCCUUUUAUGACAAAUGUUUUUGGAAUGGUGUACAAGGGCACAUAAAAGGUUUAAAUAGUGAUGUUUGAUUUUAGGUGUUUUGGUUCUAAAUAAUCGAUCGACGCAGAGAGCGCUAACCAAUCAAUUACUCAAGGACAUGGUGGAUGUCUAUCCACCUUCGAUUUGCAAAAAAUAUUGAUUUAAUUUAACUUAUAAAACUAGUUUGAUGAUAUGUAUAAAUAUGAAUUAUUUACAAGUUGAGAAAAAAAAUCUUAUUUUCUAUUUAUUUUAUUAAUUUGAAUAUAAGAAGGAAUAUUUUAUAUAUUUUUUUAAAAUAGAAUUUGAAUAAGAAGAAGGAUUAUGAUUGGUUGUUUGAACUUAUAAAAUAAAAGGAAAUAUUAUUCAUCAUUAAAUUAAAAUAAAAAACUUUUGUUUUAAAUUAAAUAAAAAAGGAUAGUUUUUGUAACUUUUGUUGUAUUGCUUUUGUAGGUAGCAUAUUUAAUUUUAUUUAUGUAAUAUUAUUAUCAGAAAGACUUAAAUAAAAUUACCUACACAUUUCAGAGAUUACUAUAAAUUAAUUUUGCAAGAUCAAAAACAAAAAUGACAUAUAAUUGUAAUGAUUGAAAACAAACAAAAAAUAUAAGACUAAAAAAAUAUUGAUAAAUAUCAUAUACAUAUUUAAUUUAAAUAAAAAAUAUUUUAAUAAAAUUUAUUAAAAUAAACACAUUAAAUAUAUUCUUCUUUUUAAUAUGUAUAUGAAAUGACAAAUAAAAACAUCUAAUCUAAUAAUAUUAGCAUUAUCAAUGGACUAGUCCUCACAUAAUGUUUAAAAAAAAAGUGAGAAUGAAAAAUAAAAGUUAACAAAGGUUGUAACUAAUUUUUCUUAAUAAGAUAGUAAUAUAGAAUUAAAAAAAAAAACAUUGCCACCCCACUACUCAACCUUGUAAUCUCAUUUUAUUUUUCUUCCCAAGCAAGUUACAAUUUUCAUGGAUACUUUAACUUUCAUUUUGUCAUCAAUCCUAACUUAGAUGCCUUUUUAUGUGACAUUUUUCAUAUCUUCUUCAACAAAGUUUGAUGAAACUUAAAUUUAAUAUGGUAACAAAAAAUAGUGUUAAUGAUAAGGCCCCAUAUUAUUAAUAGCAUUUAAUUUGAUAAUACUUUUGAGGCACUAUAACUAAAAGUGUUGUAAGAACAUUUUCUUCCAUCCUUUUUUCAAGUAUCUUAUAAGACUAAAAAAAAUAUUGAUAAAUAUCAUAUACUUAUUUAAUUUAAACAAAAAAUAUUUUUAUAAAGUUUCUUAAAAUAAACACAUUAAUAUAUUCUUCUUUUUAAAAUGUAUACAAAAUGACAAAUAAAAACAUCUAAUAUAGUAAUAUUAGCAUUAUUAAUUUACUAGUCCUCACAUAAUAUAUUUUUUUUAAAAGAGAGAAUGAAAAAUAAAAAUUAACCAAGGUUGUAACUAAUUUUUCUUAGCCAGACAAUAAGAUAGAAUUAAAAAAAAAAUAUUGCCACCGCCCUACUCAACUUUGUAAUCUCAUUUUAUUUUUCUUCCCAAGCAAGUUACAAUUUUCAUGGAUUCUUAAACUUUCAUUUUGUCAUCAACCUUAACUUAGAUGCCUUUUUACAUGUCCUUUUUUCAUAUCUUCUUCAAAAAAAUUGGAUGAAACUUAAAUUUAAUAUGGUGACAAAAAAUAGUGUUAAAGAUAAGACCCCAUAUUAUUAAUAGCAUUUCAUUUGAUGAUACUUUUGAGGCUAUAUAAAUAAGAGUGUUGUAAGAACAUUUUCUUCCAUCCUUUUUUCAAGUAUCAUUGUGUUUUCUGUUUAUUCAUUUACAAUGAUGAAUUUCAAAUGUUUUGUUUUUCUCAUACUUUUGGCUGGUGUGAUUCUCAUCUCUGUAGUGGUGGCCGAUGAACCAGAUCCUGAUCCACCAAGUAUGAACCUUGAAAUCAACAUCAAUUUAUUUGUUUAUCAACUUUGUUUAAGAUUUAGGUGAAUUAAAUUUAUGCAUGAAACUGAUAAAAGAUUUUAGGAAAAAACAUCCAUAUGAUGAAUUUAUAUAACCACUCUUCGUAUGAAUGCAUUUGGUGUAUGAUUAAAUUUUGUUGUUAUAGUAACUUAAUUAUGUAUGUUGUUGAUGAAGGUCCAAAGAUAAGCGUCUAUGAAGAGCUUAAGGGGUGUUACAAGCAUGAAAAAGGUAAAAAAAAUUAUAUUUUUUAAUUUAAUGGCAUUGAUAAGUCAAUUUUGUAAAACUUUGCAACUUUAGGUGGAAGAAAAAUGAUUUUGGAGUCAAUUCAUGAUGGAAACUGCAAGGAACUAGGAGGCGAAAAGUAUGGUGAUAGUGAAUUUGGUGGCAAUGGUGGCGGUGUCAAUCAAGGAGGAGGUAUUAGAGGUGGCAUAUGGAGAGGUAGGGAAAAAGGAGGUGGAAGUGGUAGUGAGGGAGAAGAUUAUGGUGGUGGAGGAAGUGGAAGUGGAAAAGGAAGAGAAUGUGGUGAUAAAGGCAGUAGAAUUGGAGGAGAUUAUAGUGGUGGAGCAAGUGGUAUUGGUAAAGGCAACGAAAGUGGAGGAGAUUAUGGUGGUGGCAAAGGCGGCGGUAGAAGAGGAGAUUAUGGUGGUGGAAGUGGUAGCAGAGGAGAUUAUGAUGGUGGAGCUAGUGGUGAAAGUGGAGAAGGUGGUGGUAAUUAAUGUGGAGAUUAUGGAGGUAGAGCAGGUGGUGGUAAAGGAACUGGUAACAGAGGAGAUUAUGGUGGUGGAAGUGGUAGAGGUAACAUAGAAGAUUAUGGUGGUGGAGGUAGUGGCCAUGGAUUCGGUGGUGGAAGUAGACGAGACGACAAUGAAAGUGGAGAAGGUGGUGGAAGCAAAUGAGAAGAAUGAGGUUAUUAAUGCAAUGGUACAUGAGACUUCUAUGAUUUAUGGAAAAUAUAAAAAUAGAAUAUAUACUCUAUUCAAAUUUCUUUUAUCCUUAAACAUAAGUAAUAAUUACAGUAUUGUCUCUCUUUAUGUGUAGUUCAUGAAUUAUGAAUAAAAAAUAUUGUGAUAUUCAUAAUAUUAAUAAUAAUAAUAAUAAUAAUAAUAAUAAUCACCAUCAUGGAAAGUUUCCAUAAUUCAUUAUAUGUUUUGUUCAGAAAUACCUAUUGAUAAAUACAAACAAUACUUAAAUACUCUAAUUAAGAUGUGUUCAAAUAAUAUACCGUUAAUAGUAUUAGUAUCUUUGCAAUUCACUCAAUAUUAUUUUAAAAAAUCAAUCAAUUCUAAUGGGUCAUGAAAUCCCUACAAAAAAAUUAUUAGAUUAUAUAUUCCCUUCACUCUUCUUAAUUAAGUAUUGUAUAUAAAUUUUCUGAAGUAUCAAAUCAUCAUGAUUCAUAAAUCAAAAUAUAAAAACUAAUAUUGAAUGAUAUAAAUAAAAAUAUAAGGUAACGACGGUGCAUAAUAUUGUGAUGAAGCUAUUUCAACAUUGAAGAAAGGAUAAUAAAAUGGAAAUGAGAAAGAAACUUCAAGAAGAGAGAAUCAUAGCUUCAUUGAUUAUUCAAGUGUGAUAGUACAACUCUUAUAUAGUACACUCCUAUCACAUAAUAGCCAAUCAAAUGAAACUAACUAACCAAAUAACCACNUGGUGGUGGAAGUGGUAGCAGAGGAGAUUAUGAUGGUGGAGCUAGUGGUGAAAGUGGAGAAGGUGGUGGUAAUUAAUGUGGAGAUUAUGGAGGUAGAGCAGGUGGUGGUAAAGGAACUGGUAACAGAGGAGAUUAUGGUGGUGGAAGUGGUAGAGGUAACAUAGAAGAUUAUGGUGGUGGAGGUAGUGGCCAUGGAUUCGGUGGUGGAAGUAGACGAGACGACAAUGAAAGUGGAGAAGGUGGUGGAAGCAAAUGAGAAGAAUGAGGUUAUUAAUGCAAUGGUACAUGAGACUUCUAUGAUUUAUGGAAAAUAUAAAAAUAGAAUAUAUACUCUAUUCAAAUUUCUUUUAUCCUUAAACAUAAGUAAUAAUUACAGUAUUGUCUCUCUUUAUGUGUAGUUCAUGAAUUAUGAAUAAAAAAUAUUGUGAUAUUCAUAAUAUUAAUAAUAAUAAUAAUAAUAAUAAUAAUAAUCACCAUCAUGGAAAGUUUCCAUAAUUCAUUAUAUGUUUUGUUCAGAAAUACCUAUUGAUAAAUACAAACAAUACUUAAAUACUCUAAUUAAGAUGUGUUCAAAUAAUAUACCGUUAAUAGUAUUAGUAUCUUUGCAAUUCACUCAAUAUUAUUUUAAAAAAUCAAUCAAUUCUAAUGGGUCAUGAAAUCCCUACAAAAAAAUUAUUAGAUUAUAUAUUCCCUUCACUCUUCUUAAUUAAGUAUUGUAUAUAAAUUUUCUGAAGUAUCAAAUCAUCAUGAUUCAUAAAUCAAAAUAUAAAAACUAAUAUUGAAUGAUAUAAAUAAAAAUAUAAGGUAACGACGGUGCAUAAUAUUGUGAUGAAGCUAUUUCAACAUUGAAGAAAGGAUAAUAAAAUGGAAAUGAGAAAGAAACUUCAAGAAGAGAGAAUCAUAGCUUCAUUGAUUAUUCAAGUGUGAUAGUACAACUCUUAUAUAGUACACUCCUAUCACAUAAUAGCCAAUCAAAUGAAACUAACUAACCAAAUAACCACCUAACUAACAAUAGCCUUACCAACUAUAUUAAUCAACUAAUCUAAUCCAAUGAUUAAAGUAGCUAAUCUUAACAGCCCCUCUCAAGCUAAGCAUGGUGAAUGUUGAUCAUGCCAAGCUUGGAAAUAAACUUGUUGAAAGUUGAAGUUGGUAAUGCUUUAGUUAGAAAAUCAGCAAGUUGCUCAUGAGUGGAAAUUGGUAGGAGCCGAAGUAAGUCUUACUGUAGUUUUUCACGGACCAAAUGGCAAUCGAUCUCAAGAUGUUUGGUUCGUUCAUGAAACACCGGAUUGGACGCAAUAUGCAUUGCACUUUGGCUGUCACAAUAAAGGACAGGAAGUUUGGUACAUGUGAUGUGCAACUCCUUCAUAAGGACUAUCAUCCAAAGCAAUUCACAUGUGGCAAAUGACAGCGCCCGAUACUCAGCCUCCGAUGAUGAUCUGGAAAUAGUAUAUUAUUUCUUUGCAUGCCACGAUAUGAGAGAAGUACCAAGGAAUAAGCAAUAUCCUUAAAUGGACCUCCUUGAAUCAAUGCACCCUGCCCAAUCAGAAUCUGAGAAGCCAAGAAGUUGUAAUUCAGCAUUCCUGCGAAACAGAAUUCCUCUACCAGGGCUAUUCUUCAAGUAGCGUAUGACUCUAAGGGCAGCAUGGUAGUGUGCCAUUGUUGGAUUAUGAAGAAACUGUUUGAGUUGCUGCAUGGCAUAGGUAAUGUCUGGGCGUGUGGUGUUAAGGUACAUCAAACAACCUAUUAAUCGUCUAUAAGCUCCAAUGUCUUCAAAAGCUUUGCCACUAUCAGCAUGUAGCUUAACUGAUGGAUCAAUAGGUGUGGGAGUUGGUUUGGAUCCAAGCAUUCCAGAUUCCUGCAAGAGAUCAAGAAAAUAUUUUCGUUGUGAUAGUGAAAUCCCUGCCUUUGAAUGAGCAACCUCGAGGCCAAGAAAAUACUUGAGUAUGCCCAGGUUUUUGAUGCUAAAAUUUUCAUCCAGAAUGAGUUUAAUACGAUCAAAUUCAGACAUAGAGGUUCCAGCUAGGAUUAUGUCAUCAACAUAGACUAAAAUAGCUCUAAAUUAAGCAUCAGUUUUCAAAGUGAAAAGGGAAUAAUCAGAAGUAGAUUGAGUGUACCCUUGUUGAAGUAAAAGAGCUAUUAGCUUUUCAUACCAUUUGCGACUGGCUUGUUUCAGACCAUAUAAACUCUUUUGGAGUUUGUAUACUUGAUUGGGCCUGUGACAUGUAACACCUUCAGGUAUGGUCAUAUACGCAUCUUCCUGCAAUUCCCCAUGUAAAAAAUGCAUUGUUAACAUCAAGUUGAUGUAAGAACCAAUUGUUGAUGGUUGCAGUUGCAAGAAGAGUUCUGACAGUUGUAAGCUUUGCUACAGGUAAAAAAGUAUCAAAGAAAUCAAGCCCUUCAAUUUGGUUGUAGCCCUUGGCAAUAAGUAUAGCUUUAUACCUCUCUAUUGUGCCAUAUGCUCUAUGCUUUACUUUGAACACCCAUCUGUUACCAAUUGGUUUAACAUGUGGUGGCAAAUCAACUAUGUUCCAAGUUCUAUUCUUGUAUAAUGCAUCUAAUUCAGACUACAUGGCCUUGAUCCAAUGUUCAGACAAACAUGCUUCUUUGUAGUUCUUUGGCUCAUAUAUAAGAGUGAUAUUGGAUGCAAAGGCACGAUGAGAUGUAGACAGAAAAUGCAGUGAAUCAUAAUUUGAAAUAGGAUAAGUAAUUUUGGUUGUACCUGAUGAUGACUUGACUGCUGAAGCAUCAAAUGUAUUGCCUACAUAAUCUGAGAGAUAAUGAGGUGUAUGUUUGGCUCUAACAGGCCUAGAUUGAAUGUUGUCAUUUUCAAUAUCUGAUGUAUCAGGGAUAAAUUGAAUGUCAUGGUUCUCAUCAGCAUUUUCUAAAGAUUCAGGGUCAAUGUUAGAAUGGUGCAGUGUGUCAAUGGUUGUGUUAGGAUGGUGGUCAUGUUCCUCAACAGUGGAUUCAAUACUUUGUGAUGGAACAAGUAUGAUAGGAUCAUGUUGUGGUGAGUCAAUGGGAUCUUUGUAAGGGUGAUAGUUCCAAUUAGUAGAAUUUGCAUUUGAAUAGGGAAAAAUGUGCUCAUGAUGUAUGACGUUUCUAGAAUCAAGAAUUGUAUGACUGUUAAUAUCAUAGAGCACCACACCCUUCAUACCAUUCUUGUAUCCUAAGAAUACACAUUUUCGACCUCUUGGCUCAAGUUUUGUUCUAUGCAUAUGUAAUGUGGAUGCAAAGGCUAGAGAUCCAAACACUUUGAGACUAUGCAUAUCUGGAUGUGCAUUNNNNNNNNNNNNNNNNNNNNNNNNNNNNNNNNNNNNNNNNNNNNNNNNNNNNNNNNNNNNNNNNNNNNNNNNNNNNNNNNNNNNNNNNNNNNNNNNNNNNNNNNNNNNNNNNNNNNNNNNNNNNNNNNNNNNNNNNNNNNNNNNNNNNNNNNNNNNNNNNNNNNNNNNNNNNNNNNNNNNNNNNNNNNNNNNNNNNNNNNNNNNNNNNNNNNNNNNNNNNNNNNNNNNNNNNNNNNNNNNNNNNNNNNNNNNNNNNNNNNNNNNNNNNNNNNNNNNNNNNNNNNNNNNNNNNNNNNNNNNNNNNNNNNNNNNNNNNNNNNNNNNNNNNNNNNNNNNNNNNNNNNNNNNNNNNNNNNNNNNNNNNNAGCAUUUUCUAAAGAUUCAGGGUCAAUGUUAGAAUGGUGCAGUGUGUCAAUGGUUGUGUUAGGAUGGUGGUCAUGUUCCUCAACAGUGGAUUCAAUACUUUGUGAUGGAACAAGUAUGAUAGGAUCAUGUUGUGGUGAGUCAAUGGGAUCUUUGUAAGGGUGAUAGUUCCAAUUAGUAGAAUUUGCAUUUGAAUAGGGAAAAAUGUGCUCAUGAUGUAUGACGUUUCUAGAAACAAGAAUUGUAUGACUGUUAAUAUCAUAGAGCACCACACCCUUCAUACCAUUCUUGUAUCCUAAGAAUACACAUUUUCGACCUCUUGGCUCAAGUUUUGUUCUAUGCAUAUGUAAUGUGGAUGCAAAGGCUAGAGAUCCAAACACUUUGAGACUAUGCAUAUCUGGAUGUGCAUUAUGCAGUAUGAAAUGAGGAUAAAGAUUGUUUAAAACUUGUGUAGGAAGUUUAUUUAUAAUGAAUGUUGCAUGCAAAAUGGCAUAUAACCAGAAUUCCUUUGGAAGUUUUGACUGAAAAAGAAGGGCUCUUCCAACAUUUAGUAAAUGUUGAUGUUUCCUCUCCACUCUACCAUUUUGUUGUGGAGAUUCAACACAACUUGUUUGAUGAAUGAUUCCCUUAGAUGCAUAAAAUUCAGGGAGGCUAAAUUCAGGACCAUUAUCAAUUCUGAUAAUUUUGACAUGAAGCUUAUGUUGAUUUUCUAUGAGACUAACAAAGUUUAUAACAUGCUGUCUAGCUUCAGAUUUGGCUUUCAUUAAUGUUAUCCAUGUGUAUCUGCUACAGUCAUCAACAUCAGUUAAAAAACAUGAAUGACCAUGUAAAGAUUGAACUGCAAGAGGUCCGCAAAUGUCAAAAUGGAUCAAGUCAUAAGGGUGAGCAACUCUAUUAUUACUAACAGUAUAAGAAAGCUUUCUUUGUCUAGCAUAGCAACAAACAUCACAAACAUCUUUAUGAUUAACUUUGAUAAAGGGAAAUUGAGAAUGUAAGUACAAUAGUCUAUUUUGAGAUAAGUGUCCUAAUCUAAAAUGCCAUAAGGCUCUAUCUGGUAAAGUGACAUUGGCUGCUACGGCAAAGGUUAAAGCAGGUGUGUGUGUGUGUAGUAGGUGGAUCAUUAUCUCUUAGUGUUAGGUAGUACAAUCCAUCUUUCUGCUCAGCAGAACCAGUCAUCUUCAUGGUGAUUUUGUCCUGUAUAACACAUUGUGAAUUGAGGAAACUGACAUUGCAAUUAGAGGAUUCACACAAUUUUGAAACAUAUAAUAGAUUUAAAGAAAAUUCAGGAAUCAAAAGAACAUUAUGCACAAUGAAGUCAGGAGAAAAAUAAAUUGUGCCAGAAUGUUUAGCAACAAGGCAUUGUCCAUUUGGCAAUCUAACAUUGAUGGGAAUAAUUUUCUUAUAUGAAUGAAACUAUUGGACAGAACUACAUAUAUGAUCAGUAGCUCCUGAAUCAAUGAUCCAAGAACCACUACUACUAUUAUGCAUGCAAUGAUAUGUGUUACCUGUUGAUGGAUUGCCAACAACAACUUGGUUGGAAGAAGCAUGUCCUGAAGAUUGGCCAAUGCUUGAUUUCUGAAUUAGAUCCAUUAAAGCACUGAAUUGACCUUGAGUCAUAGGUGAAUUGUCACUUUUAAUGUCAACACCACUAGAGGAAGAUCCAUCAUCAUUUCCAUCUGAUGCCACAUUGUUAGCUGAAUUCUGAAACUGCUUCUACAUAUGAGGUGGUACACCAUGUUUCUUGAAGCAGUUUUCCACAGUGUGAUUAGUCUUGCCACAGAAUGUGCAAACACGAGCACCAUGCUUGAAUGUAUUGUUUCUUGCUCCAAACCUCUUGGAAUCCACAACAUUAAUCGGUGUUUGAGACUCAUCAUUGGGAAUAGGGAGCUGAAUUUGUCUCUCAUGUUGGAUAACCAUGGAGAAUAUCUUAUUCAUAUUUGGCAAAGGAUCCUUAACAAUAUUUGAGACUUAACUACAACAAAUUGGUCAUUCAAACCAGUCAAGAAUUUGAUAAUUUGUAGCAGCGGAUGAUUAGAUCUUGCAUUGCGCAUAGCUUCACAAGAACAUUUUAUGUGACAUGUACAAGUUGGAAAGGCAAAUACAAAUCUAAUUCUUUCCAAAGAAAUUUAAGAUCAGAAAAAAAAUCAGUUACCGAUUUGGUUUCUUGCUUGAGAUUAUAUAUUUCUUGCUGCAGCUCAGAAAUACGAAUGAGGUUACCCUGAGAAAACCUUUCUUUCAAAUUGUUCGAUACAUCAAGUGCAUUCUCCAUGAAGACGAUAGACUGAGAAAUUGAAUCUGAAACAAAAUUCAUGAUCCAAGAAUGUACUAGCAUGUUGCAGCGAUUCCAAGCACGCAGAGAUGGAUCGAAAGAAUCAGCAGGAACAGGAAGAGAUCCAUCAAUGAACUCAAUCUUCAUUUUGCCACCAAGAGCCUUCUUCAUGCUUCGAGCCCAUGAAUGAUAGUUGGAACCAUUGAGUUUCGGAAGAAUUGUAACAGAACCAUGACCAUUGCUGGGGUGAACAAAAUAAGGUGAAGUUUGAUCCAAAGUAGGAUCAAGUGGUGAAGAUCGAGGAGGAGCCAUGGAUGCAGAAAGAAGUGAAUGCAGAAAGAAAAAUAGAUGGAGUAGAAGGAUUCAAUUGGAUAGUAGCGGAAGGAGAAUCGAAUUGGCGAUGAUACCAUAUUAUGAUGAAGCUAUUUCAACACUGAAGAAAGGAUAAUAAAAUGGAAAUGCGAAAGAAACUUCAAGAAGAGAGAAUCAUAGCUUCAUUGAUUAUUCAAGUGUGAUAGUACAACUCUUAUAUAGUACACUCCUAUCAAACAAUAGCCAAUCAAAUGAAACUAACCAACCAAAUAACCACCUAACUAACAAUAGCCUUACCAACUAUAUUAAUCAACUAAUCUAAUCCAAUGAUUAAAGUAGCUAAUCUUAACACAUAAUGCACUCAAAUUUCUAAUUUGUUGCAUGAAAAUUUUAAUAGUAAAGUAUAUAUACUAAGCAAGGCAAAACUAAAAUUCCCAUAAAAUCAAUGCCUCGAGGAUCCUGAACGGGAGUUAAAGUUCCAAUUAUUUUUGUGGGAAAAUUAUUUACAUUUUGUAGUUACAAAUAUGAUGUUAUACUUUAAUUUCACUUACAUUUUAUGGUAAGAAAAAAGGAGUGUCAUGAGAGUAAUCAAACAAAACAAUAAUAUAUAAUCAAUUAAAUGGAUGUGCAAGCAGACUAGGUGAAUGUAGCUUUUCUUGAAUAACACAAUUUGUUUUCACCAAAAUAUCAUUUCAUAUGCACGUUUAACAUAACUAUAGUGUUUUAACCAAAAUAUUACUUUAGAUGCACCAAAAUAUUAGUUUAGAUGCACGUUUAACGUAACUAACACCAGUGUUUUAACCAAAAUAUUACUUUAGAUGCACCAAAAUAUUAGUUUAGAUGCACGUUUAACGUAACUAACACCAUACCAAACAUAUGCUCUUCAAGAAAUUUGAACUUGAAACUUUUAUCUUCUGAAAACAUAGAUUUAGUCUAUAAAAAGAAUUCUAAUUCUAAUUUUUGUUCAUCUAAAUUAGUAGUUGAAACUAGAACCUGAAUCAAAAUUCUCAAAUACUAAAAAAUCCAUUCAAAUAUCUAAACUUAACUAAAAUCGAUAUUGUUCGUUGAUGUGGAGCAUAACACAAGUAUUAUUUCUUAUUGAUCUAUCAAUCUAAAUCAUUCUUUGAUCGGUAAAACUUGUAACUCGAGAUUUUUUGUAUAAAUUAAUCAAAACCCAUUUGUGUUCUUAUUCUUUGAUUUCAUGAACUUCAUUAAAAUCCAAAUAUUGGAAUUAUAUAUUGAGCAUUUUAUAUUUUGUUAAGUGGAUGGAGUUAGGCAUUUGAUAUACAAUAAUUUAAAAUUAGUGAGAUUAGAUAAAUAAGAAGUUCGAUAUGUCGUCUAGAAGCUAUGGGUUUUUUCCUUUUCUAUAUUAUAAAUUAAAACACAUGAGUUUCAUCCGAAAUUAAUUAUUCUAAUUUUGAAGACAAAAAUUUAUUAUCGUCAUUUUAUUUAAUUACGGCAAAAGUUUACGAGCGUAAAUAUUUUAUAAAUUGGUUAAUUGAUAUUAUUAUUAUUAUUAUUAUUAUUAUUAUUAUUAUUAUUAUUAUUUGUAACACCAAUAUUCUUUUUCUAAUUGUGCAUAGUGUCUAAUUGGUUAAUUGAUGAAGAAUUAAUUGUCCUAACCUAACUCUAAGCACUUGAUUAGAGGUGAGUGUCGAUCAUUAGUAAUAAGGGUCCAUGUGCAAGGGCAAAUCAAUAUGUUCUAAUGGUAUUAUAAAACUUAAACUAUAGAGAAACCUCAUUUCUCUACAUAUUUUCUCUUGGUUAGUAGCUUGAAUAUCAAAUGUGACAUGAGAGGAAGAAUGAGCCAAUGACAGUUAAUGGAUGUCGAGUUGCAAGUUAGAGCUAACCAUCCAGGCUUCACCCAAUCUAUGGAUGGAGUCAUUUUGUUAAAUCAGUGGUUAUAUGUGCUGAUUGAUUCAGAGUUGAGAAGGGUGAUAUUGGAAUAAUCUCACAAUUCACCUGUGAUACCCCAAUUUUGCCCUUCCUUCAAUAAAUCGACACCUUUAUCAUGACAUUCGCAUCAUCUAUAUAGCAUAACAUGCAUUUCAUUCCACAUAAUGCCUAAAAUAUCGACCAGAAUAAACUUUUGAAUUUACAGGCAGACCGAUUAAACUGAUUCUCAAAUGAACAUGAAAUUAGCGGGCGGAAAUUUAAAAAUCGAGCUUGCAAAUGUCAAUUUUAUUAAUCUACAAUUCGUGUAGUUUAACAUGGCGUGUUCGUUUUAUUUUUUUCAACUACUUUUUCAGUCGCAUUUUGACCAGUCUGAGCCUUUUACCCAAUCAUAAAAAUAAAUUUUUAACUGGUUUUAGACAUACAAAAGCUCUUCAAAUUUUCACGUUCAUCAUUUUGGUGCAUUUAGUUUAAUUUUUCGACCAUUUUUGCACCCAACUUUUUUUCAAUUUGAGUUUGUUUAUCAUUUUUUUUGUCAAAAUGUUUGAAAUAAGUAAAUAGAAUUUUCAUUGUUUUUGUUUUGAGUUAAUUUUUAUUAUUUAGAUUAAUGUAAUUUUAUUUGAUUUAAUUUAUUUGUAACUAUUUUUUACAUAAUUUUCACUCAAUAAGGGCAUGUUCGAUAUUUAAUAAAAAUAGAAAACCCUAGCAUAUAUAAGUUAAUAAGUGCUGAAAGAAGAGGACCUCAAUUUUACAAUCCACGUCGCCUCUUUUUUGGGUCAAACAGAAAUUGAAAAAAAUAAAGAAUUGAACCACUUGCAGCUACAGUGUGUUGUUCACUUUCCAAAGUCUCCCUCUCAUUUGACAUACCAUCUCUUAACCCCUAGCAUAUACUUCUUAAUUUAAAAAAAAAGAAGGCUUAAACGCACUUUUGAUCCCCUUAGUUUGAACAUUUUAAACAAUUGUUCCCCCUAUUGCAAAACUAGUGAUUCUGGUCCCUUAAUUUUGAUGGUCUUUGGAUUUGUAUGUUCCCCUUCCACUUUUACAUAUGUGACAUUGAUUAUUCGGAUAAAAAUAUAAUUUUGAAUGAUAUAUCAUUGAUGACUAGGGUAAUUUAUUAAUUAAUAUUUUUUAUAGAAUAAAUUAAUAAUUAAUUGUUUUAAUUAAUAUUUUUAGAAAUUAAUUAAUUAAAAUUUUAAAAAGAAUUACUGGGCCUAAGCCCAAUUCUUAACAACAUCCUUUUCAAACUUGCCCAAGAAGACAUUGAGUAAUGCAUUGUUGACUUUUAUAAACACUAAAAUUGUUUAUGAAAAAAAUAAUGUGGGACAUAAUUCCCUUUUUUCCUUAUGACUCUACUCAUGAUCUCUAUCAUAAACUGAAUGUGCAUUGAUGCUCUUCAAGAUAUAACCACCCAAAUAACACAAAUCGGUAGCCAUCAGAUUAUUAGUUUUCGAUGUUUAAAGAUCUCAAGGAGUUCAAUUUCGUUGUGCAUGAUAUUUAUUGCCUUUUUACUGUCCGUCCAAAUUCAAACUUCUUUACAAACAUAAUUUUUUUUGACCGAAUCAAUAAAUUUGUACAUAAUAUCAUGUGUUCCUCUACCAAUAAUAUACUGAUCACUUAGAUUCUCUGUAGCUUGCACAACACUAUUUCCUUAAGGGAAAUGACUUUACUUGAGGUGUUGAAUCUUGAACAAUAUUCAAGUCCGAUCCAUCCAGCUCCUCAUCAAAUAUAAUACCAUGAUUUAGAUCAGACUCCAUAUCUAAUUCCUUUCCAAGAAGACACCUUUGAACUAUAAUUACCAGUACAACAGAAUUAAAUAUUGAGGAUCCAAUUGAUAUCAUCACAAUUUGAAUAUUACUAAUAUCGAUACCUUUAUGAUCACUUGAGUAGUGUGAUUUGGAGACACAUGGAUUUAGAUUUAGGGGAGAACAAAGGUAUGAAAUAAUAAAGAAAUAAAAUAAAUAAAUAAAUAAAGCAAAACAAAUCAAUAAGAGAAAAAGAAAACGAAUAAAUAAACAAAACAAACAACCCUAGAACUAAAUUGUAGGUUUAACUCUCUUUAGGGAUAUUCCCCAGCAGAGUCACCAAUUGUCGUAUAUAAAAAAAUAUGAUCUCGUGAAGCGCAUCGAACACUCGCGGAUGGACUGGCAGAGUCGGCACUGUUCUCUAUUUAUUCCUAAGAAAAGGAAAAAUGACAACAAAACUGUAAGGAAAAGAAAAGGAUAAGAUGUGCAUCGCAACCAAAUUAGGGUUCAGGAGUCGGUUAUGCAAUGGGAAGGUAUUAACACCCCCCACAUCCGUUGUACUAAACGGAAACCUCCUAAUGUUAUAAGGUUGAUUAUUUGUUAAGGGUUUAUUUAUUUUAUUUUAUUUUUAUUCGAGUGUUUACAAAAAUAAAUUAUUUACAAUGGAAAAAGCUUUUUUAAUUAUUAUGCUCGCCAAGGUUUCAAAACUUCGUGUCUACGUAUUCUAUUGUGCAAUGAGAAAAUCAGAGCAUCGUAGUUCAAAAAAAAGUUUGUGUGUUGGUUGCUUUUAUAUAAUAUAAUUUAAGUCAUUCUUGCGUUCAAACCUCGACUUAUAUGCUCGCACGAUGGAGGCUUAAGCGCUUGUUUUUGUUUCGCGUUGAAAAUAACUUGAACUAUCCUUUUAUGAAAAAUAUUUUUGGAAUGGGGUACCGGGGCACAUAAAAGGUUUAAAUAGUGAUGUUUAAUUUUAAGUGUUUUGGUUCUAAAUAAUCGAUCGACACAGAGAGCGCUAACCAAUCAAUUACUCAAGGACAUGGUGGAUGUCUAUCCACCUUCGAUUUGCAAAAAAAUAUUGAUUUAAUUUAACUUAUAAAAGUAGUUUGAUGAUAUGUACAAAUAUGAAUUAUUUACAAGUUGAGAAAGAAAUCUUAUUUUCUAUUUAUUUUAUUAAUUUGAAUAUAAGAAGGAAUAUUUUAUAUAUUUUUUUAAAAUAGAAUUUGAAUAAGAAGAAGGAUUAUGAUUGGUUGUUUGAACUUAUAAAAUAAAGGGAAAUAUUAUUCAUCAUUAAAGUAAAAUAAAAAACUUUUGUUUUAAAUUAAAUAAAAAAGGAUAGUUUUUGUAACUUUUGUUGUAUAGCUUUUGUAGGUAGCAUAUUUAAUUUAAUUUAUAUAAUAUGAUUAUCAGAAAGACUUAAAUAAAAUUACCUACACAUUUCAGAGAUUACUAUAAAUUAAUUUUGCAAGAUCAAAAACAAAAAUGACAUAUAAUUGUAAUGAUUAAAAACAAACAAAAAAUAUAAGACUAAAAAAAUAUUGAUAAAUAUCAUAUACUUAUUUAAUUUAAAUAAAAAAUAUUUUAAUAAAAUUUCUUAAAAUAGACACAUUAAAUAUAUUCUUGUUUUUAAUAUGUAUAUGAAAUGACAAAUAAAAACAUCUAAUCUAAUAAUAUUAGCAUUAUCAAUUGACUAGUCCUCACAUAAUGUUUAAAAAAAAAGUGAGAAUGAAAAAUAAAAGUUAACAAAGGUUGUAACUAAUUUUUCUUAACAAGAUAGUAAUAUAGAAUAUAAAAAAAAAACAUUGCCACCCCACUACUCAACUUUGUAAUCUCAUUUUAUUUUUCUUCCCAAGCAAGUUACAAUUUUCAUGGAUACUUUAACUUUCAUUUUGUCAUCAAUCCUAACUUAGAUGCCUUUUUAUGUGACAUUUUUCAUAUCUUCUUCAACAAAGUUGGAUGAAACUUAAAUUUAAUAUGGUAACAAAAAAUAGUGUUAAUGAUAAGGCUCCAUAUUAUUAAUAGCAUUUAAUUUGAUAAUACUUUUGAGGCACUAUAGCUAAGAGUGUUGUAAGAACAUUUUCUUCCAUCCUUUUUUCAAGUAUCUUAUAAGACUAAAAAAAAUAUUGAUAAAUAUCAUAUACUUAUUUAUUUUAAACAAAAAAUAUUUUUAUAAAGUUUCUUAAAAUAAACACAUUAAUAUAUUCUUCUUUUUAAAAUGUAUACAAAAUGACAAAUAAAAAUAUCUAAUAUAGUAAUAUUAGCAUUAUCAAUUUACUAGUCCUCACAUAAUAUUUUUUUUUUAAAAAGAGAGAAUGAAAAAUAAAAUUUAACCAAGGUUGUAACUAAUUUUUCUUAGCCAGACAAUAAGAUAGAAUUAAAAAAAAAUAUUGCCACCGCCAUACUCAACUUUGUAAUCUCAUUUUAUUUUUCUUCCCAAGCAAGUUACAAUUUUCAUGGAUUCUUAAACUUUCAUUUUGUCAUCAACCUUAACUUAGAUGCCUUUUUACAUGUCCUUUUUCAUAUCUUCUUCAAAAAAAUUGGAUGAAACUUAAAUUUAAUAUGGUGACAAAAAAUAGUGUUAAAGAUAAGGCCCCAUAUUAUUAAUAGCAUUUAAUUUGAUGAUACUUUUGAGGCUCUCUAAAUAAGAGUGUCGUAAGAACAUUUUCUUCCAUCCUUUUUUCAAGUAUCAUUGUGUUUUCUGUUUAUUCAUUUACAAUGAUGAAUUUCAAAUGUUUUGUUUUUCUCAUACUUCUGGCUGGUGUGAUUCUCAUCUCUGCAGUGGAGGCCGAUGAACCAGAUCCUGAUCCACCAAGUAUGAACUUUGAAAUCAACAUCAAUUUAUUUGUUUAUCAACUUUGUUUAAGAUUUAGGUGAAUUAAAUUUAUGCAUGAAACUGAUAAAAGAUUUUAGGAAAAAACAUCCAUAUGAUGAAUUUUUAUAACCACUCUUCGUAUGAAUGCAUUUGGUGUAUGAUUAAAUUUUGUUGUUAUAGUAACUUAAUUAUGUAUGUUGUUGAUGAAGGUCCAAAGAUAAGCGUCUAUGAAGAGCUUAAGGGGUGUUACAAAGCAUGAAAAAGUAAAAAAAUUAUAUGUUUUAAUUUAAUGGGAUUGAUAAGUCAAUUUUGUAAAAUUUUGCAACUUUAGGUGGAAGAAAAAUGAUUUUGGAGUCAAUUCAUGAUGGAAACUGCAAGGAACAAGGAGGCGAAAAGUAUGGUGAUAGUGAAUUUGGUGGCAUUGGUGGAGGUGUCAUCAAGGAGGAGGUAUUAGAGGUGGCAUAUGGAGAGGUAGGGAAAAAGGAGGUGGAAGUGGUAGUGAGGGAGAAGAUUAUGGUGGUGGAGGAAGUGGAAGUGGAAAAGGAAGAGAAUGUGGUGAUAAAGGCUGUAGAAUUGGAGGAGAUUAUGGUGGUGGAGCAAGUGGUACUGGUAAAGGCAACGAAAGUGGAGGAGAUUAUGGUGGUGGCAAAGGCGGUGGUAGAAGAGGAGAUUAUGGUGGUGGAAGUGAAGGUGGAAGUGGUAGCAGAGGAGAUUAUAAUGGUGGAGCUAGUGGUGAAAGUGGAGAAGGUGGUGGUAAAUGUGGAGAUUAUGGAGGUAGAGCAGGUGGUGGUAAAGAAACUGGUAACGGAGGAGAUUAUGGUGGUGGAAGUGGUAGAGGUAACAUAGAAGAUUAUGGUGGUGGAGGUAGUGGCCAUGGAUUCGGUGGUGGAAGUAGACGAGACGACGAUGAAAGUGGAGAAGGUGGUGGAAGCAAAUGAGAAGAAUGAGGUUAUUAAUGCAAUGGUACAUGAGACUUCUAUGAUUUAUGGAAAAUAUUAAAAAUGAAUAUAUACUCUAUUCAAAUUUCUUUUAUCCUUAAACAUAAGUAAUAAUUACAGUAUUGUCUCUCUUUAUGUGUAGUUCAUGAAUUAUGAAUAAAAAAUAUUGUGAUAUUCAUAAUAUUAUUAUUAAUAAUAAUAAUAAUAAUAAUAAUAAUCACCAUCAUGGAAAGUUUCCAU
rnacentral:lncRNA from 1 species